UAAUCUGACUCAUCCUGAGAUUACUAAUGACUUGGUAGAUAGUUUUCUCACUCUUAGUCCUCAAUAAAUCUUCAAUAAUUGUUCUUCUUUACAGUAAGCCUUUUCCAAAUUAUUUCAACUUUAUUAAACACUCCUUUUAUGUGUUUUGUUUCUCACUUUCUUUCCACUAAACAAUAAUUCCUUGGCAGAAAUUGUAUGAUAGCAUGGCAAUCCAAUUAAGGUGUCUUAUGAAAUCCGGAUUAGGAGUGUGGUCUACCUCUCUUAACCUUGAAUUUCUUUAUUUUUUUGGUCAAUUUUUUUACUGUCUACUCUUAAAUUUCGAUAAUCAUAUUUCUUUAUUCAUUACCUACUAUUAUAUGAAAAGUAAUUAACUUUUAGCAUAGCUAAUUGAUUGGUGCCCAGAAGCCCAAUACAAGUCAUUACAAAGUCAAGCACACAAUCGAUUUAGAGAAAUACCAUAGCAGAUUAAAACCCUAAACAAUCUCUGAUUUAUAAAAUAAGAAAAAAAAAACAUAAAAAAGCUUGCUCACAGAACUCCAGCUACUAAGAGAUCUUGAGAGACGACCUCAUUGCUGUAUCUCAAGAACCUUACAAGUAAGUUUUUUGUUUUUGAAUUUCUAUUUUGAGUCAUGAAGCUCAAUCGCUAAGUGAAUUUGUUUGUUAUUCAUGGGUUCAUGUCUGUAGUCUUUUUCUGGUUAGGAGUUGUUGAGAUUUCUUGUAUAGACACAUGUGACAAUGGUAGAUCUUAGUCUCUGUCCCAUAAAUGAAGCUAUGGUUUAAGAAAUUGGGGGUUUUGUGGUUUAGAGCUCAAAAGAAUCUAGAGUUAAGUUCAGUAGUUGAACUAUCCAGAGAUAGGAGAGUAGAGAAGGAUUAAUACAAUCAAGUAUUCGAUGGAAUAUGUAAGGUAGGUGAAGUGUUUGAAGAAAAGACUGAGAAAAGAAAAGAUGAGAUAUAAAAAAGAAGCAUUAUUAAAGGAAUAGAAUAAUUACAAAGAAUUCAGGAAGAAAUCACAAUGCUCCAGAAUGAAUAUAAUUUUAUCUUUGCUUCCUAUUUACACAAGCACAAGUUCACCCACUUGAACUAACUGUUUAUCCCCUAAUUAUAACUGUCACCCAAACAAACUACUAACCCUCUUAACAAACACUUUAUAAGAACUGCUAUGACAUGUAUGACUAUGAUGUUACCCCUUUGAUCUUUGUUAUUGAUCCUUGUCCAAUGUCAUUGAUGUAACCCUCCAUUCCUGACUCGGCACCUGUCAUAUGAAUCUUAGCAUCUCCUGCAACCCUGUCCUUGUCAUUGAUUCUGGUCCAGUGUUAUCCUCCAUUCCUGACUCAGCACCUGUCAUAUGAAUCUUAGCAUCUCCUCCUUGGAGCUGGAAAUUCUUGUGACAAAACACUGCAUAUCUGGUUGCUGUCCUCUUAGAAUUAUAAGGCACGUUUGCAAUGUGUCUGGCAACGUAAUUCAUAAUAUCUGCAGAGUUAUGUUCAAGGAUGAAAUAUUCACUAACAUCCAAACAGGUUGCAAUUUGGUCAAGAAUUCCUUAAAUGACUUACAAACGGUAAGAAUUUUACCCUUAAACAACCCAUUGCCUUUAGGCGCUUUCACAAACCCAUCUCUUUUCUGCUUCUUGUGUCAUGAUCAAUGAGUUUUGGCAAACCACAGCUCCUCUCUUCAACCCUUGCUGCUGCUACAUAGAUCUCUUGUAAGAUUAUUUUGAUCUUUUACUUGAAACAAUAAUGCCCAAAUUCUACAUUUGGGUAGAUGUGAAUGUGAGUUUGGCAGUACUAUGGCACGGUAGAUGCUUCAUGCAUGCUCUGCAACUGCAUUAAGUUGCAGUGGCAUAUGGGAUAAAAUCAGAGCAAGUGGCUUCCAUUCUUUGAAUCGACGUAAGCUGGUUUAUGGGCUUUUGUUUGGCACGAAUCAUGUGGCAUGCAUGGUGAAGGGUUCCAGUCCCACCCCUCCCUUCCCCACUUCCCCCCUUCCCUUCUCCUCAAAACAAACUCUGCAAGUAGUUGCAGCAUUUAUUUUCAUCCUGAUCACUCUUUUAGUUAAACUUUGUACAUGCAUUACUUGUUUAUGUGGUCUAAAGCAGUUUUCGUUUUUAAUUGAUAGGGGAAUGGCAAGACAUGGUUGGUUUCUCCCUGCUACUGGAGUACUGGCCACCAUUAUCCAAUUGAAACCCGAAACUCUCACUCCAUCUAUUGUAAACGAUGCUAUCAUAAUCAUGGGUGUUGUUGCUGUGCUCAUCCAUGUUGUAUGCAGUGCAUUUGAAGAUAUACUUGAAGCUGGCCACUUCAAAUCAAUUGCUGCUGGCACCGGUCGCCUGGCCAGAGCGCUUGCCAUUACUCUACUACUCAUAAUCUGCGUCCCAAAAAUUUGGUGGUUUCUUCUUUCGGCAUGGGUGUUGUUCUUUAUAUGGGUAACAUAUACUUUACGUGAGGAAUUGUCAAAAUUGUGUGAAUCGCUAUACAAUGCAGUUCGCCUUCGCCACGGCCAAGAGCCAAAUGAGUUGCCAGUGUAACCAUACCGAGCCAUUGAAGAGAAUUACGGUUGAUGAAAGACUGUAGUCUAUAUAUAUAUAUAUAUAAUUGCGUGGUGUGAUUGAAAUUACAAGUGCUAUUUUUACUAGUAUGGCCGCAACUUGGUAACGUUAUCUGUAAUAUAUUGUUUGAAUACUUGCUUUAAGAAAAAGAAAAUAAUCCAAAAUGCCUAUUUAAAGUAUGUAGAAGCUCCCGAGUUCUUGUUACUCUUUUUUAUCUUCACCAUCUCACAUCUCUCUUGCUACCUUCAACAAAAAAUUGUAGUUUAUUAUAUGUUGUUGACUUCCCUUUCCAUUAUUUAUCAAUUUUUAAUGGAUGGUGAUUUCUCUUUCUGCCUUAAUUAAUCAAUAUUUAUUAACGUAUUUGGAGUAAUUUAUUUAAUAGGAAAAUCAGGUUAAAAACGUAACUUAUUUUAAACUAAACAAAUUUUAUUACAUAGAAUUAAAAGGGCCGGGGAUUGGCCCAUGGAGACUACUUUAAUUUAUAUUGUUUGGUAUUAUGAUUUAAUCUGUUAUUUAAAUUGAUUUCGUGUUUAACAUAGAGAGAGAGAGAGAGAGAGAGAGAGAGAGAGAGACACACACACACACACACACCCCAAUGAAUCUGUAAAAUUGUCAUCCCAUUAACAUAGCUUCAAAUCAAUUGAAUUCAAAACAAUUUUGAGGAGGCAUUCCUAUUAUGCACCUGAUCAAUUUUGAUGAAUGUGCAUGUCUUUCUUCUUUUUCUCAAAAAGUAGGCAUAAUUCCUAUUUUGUACCUGAUCAAUAAGAAAAUCAACUUUAUUAGUAAUGUUUUUUUUAUCAUGGGAACCAAUCAAAACAUUUUUAAUGCAUGACAGGUAUAAUGGAAAUAUUAUGAAUAUAUCCGUCAUUAGUGUUUGAACUAAAAAUAUCACUCGCUCUCAUCAAUGUUUAAUAAUUAAUUCAAUACUGAGUCAAAUUUCCUGUCUUUUCUAGACCAACUGAUCAAUCUUGUGACUAUGCAUUUGCUCAUCUGAACUAAAAUAUCAUUCCUUCUUCAUAUUUUUCCAAGUUAAAUUAAAGAAAAUAAAAAUCUCAAUCAUUUAAUCUAGCACUGUCAGCACAUUAGUAUAUCUGUAACAAGAGCUCAAAUGAAGCUCUUGCACGACAUUAAUGAAGAAUUGUUUUGGAACCAAUGCGGUCAUUACAUUACGUUGCAAUAUUACCUCGCUAACAUCACUGUGCAAGUUCCCAUUAUUUAUUUUAAUGAAGACAUUACUCUAUAAAUAUGUUUAAGGGAUCAUAAGAAAGUGAUUAAGAGCUCUAGCUAAUAUAGGUUCUAGUUAGCACGUAGUAUUGCACAAACUUUAAGCCUGCACUACAUCAUUAAAUAGUUUUAUCGACGGAUUAAUUCUGUCGGUGUGAGACAUAAAAACCGUCGGCAAUACUUUUACCGACGGAUUCGCCGACGGAAUAAGUCCGUCGGAGGCAUGAUCAUCGGUAAUUUUUCUUUCCGUCGUCAAUUUUGUCGGUAAUUACAAAAAACCAAGCACCGACAGUAUUACAGAUGGCUAAGUACCAACGGAAUAAUUCCCGCGAGAAAUUUACCGACGGAAUAAUUCCAUCUAUAUUUUCAACGGUAAUUACCGACGGACUAUCCAUCGGCGAUUGUGGCAUGGGCGGUAAAUAUUUCAGACUUUGUCAAAUACCGACGGAAUACAUCCGUCGGUAAUAGUCAUGGUCAAUACCGAUGGAAUUGAUCCGUCGAUGAUUGCGGCACGGCCCGUAAAUUUUUUUCAACUCUCGGUAAAAUAUCAACGGCCUGGUUCCCUCUGUAAAGCCAUCGGUAUUUAUUUAAAAUAUUUAUUUAAAAAUUAUUUAUUAAUAGUAAUAAAAACUUAAUAACCAAAUAAAUUUGUAUUAAAUAUUAAAAAUGUAAAAAUAAUGUUAAAUAAUAUUCAUCGAAAUAUUCAUUACAAAUUUAAUGUUUUAAAAAACAAAAUUAAACUAAUUAAAAUAGCGGUGGAGCUGGAGGAGGAGGUUGGUUGUUGCCGGGACCGUACAGCCAAAAAGGAGCAGCACAUGGAUCAUCACCCAUCUUUGAUCUAAUCUCCAUGACCAUUUGAUGGAGUUUAGCAUAAUCCGUUGAGAGGCGUUCAUAUUAUUGUUUCAAGGCUAAGAACCCCUCUGACUGUGUGCUUGAUAUUGAUGGAGAGCUCUCAACGGUUGAGACACUACGGGCCGACCGUAAUUUUUCGGCCGUAGUGUUGGAGAGCCCUUAGACCCGAUUUUUAUCGGGUCCACUAGACGAUCUGACCUCCAUCCACAAGUCCAGAUCGAAAUUGAGAGGUCAUCCUUUCAUUGUGCCUGGUACUUGCUGUUAACAUAGGCAGUAGUUGUUAUUGAUAGAAAUACAGCUGAAAUAAGAGUGUAAUUAUAGGAUAAGUAUCUUCCUAUAAUUUAGGCCUAAAUUAUAGGAAUGUGAUGUAAAUCAGGAUUGAUGUAAAUCAGGAUUCCUUCCUAUUUAAGGAACGAGACUCUCAUGUAAAGGGAUGGAUUCAGCCAAUUUGACAUGGUAUCAGAGCUAUACCUUUGAAUUUGUAUUCCAAAAUCCGGUUCUUUCUUGUUGUUCUCGGUUUCUGGAUUAUUAUGGAUCAGUCCUAGAUACAUAGGACUCUCGGUCUCCUAGCUCUUUGCAAUCAGUCCUAGAUACAGAGGACUCUCAGUUUCUUGGUUCUUUUGGUUUGGUUCUCGGUUGUCAGCUGAGAUUUGUAUUCUCCUUGUUCUGUGAUUUUUUAUGUAUCACUACAAAGAUGUCAAACAAUUCUGAUCUGUUUGGUGUCCGAUUUACUGGGAAGAAUUAUUCUGCUUGGGAAUUUCAGUUUCAAGUAUUUGUCACAGGAAAAGAAUUGUGGGGUCAUGUGGAUGGGAGUGAUCCAGCCCCUACUGAUGCUACAAAACUGUCUUUAUGGAAGGUCAAGGACGCUUGGGUAAUGUCCUGGAUACUAGGGUCAGUUGACCCCCUCAUUAUUCUUAAUCUGAGGCCAUACAAAACAGCAAGAACCAUGUGGGAAUAUCUGAAGAAGGUUUACUAUCAAGAUAAUAAUGCUAGACGUUUUCAAUUAGAAAACGACAUCUCUAAUUAUUCUCAAAGCAAUCUUUCUAUUCAGGAGUAUUAUUCUGGUUUUCAGAACCUAUGGGCAGAAUAUACUGAUAUCAUUUAUGCCCAGAUUCCAGCAGAAUCCCUCUCGGUUAUUCAGAAGGUGCAUGAGUAGAGCAAGCGUGAUCAAUUUCUCAUGAAAUUGAGAUAUGAAUUUGAGAUUACUCGCUCGAAUUUGAUGAACCGAGCUCCCUUGCCUUCCUUGGAUGGUUGUUUUGGGGAAUUACUGCGGGAAGAACAACGAAUCCUUACACAAAGUACUCUAAAGCAGGACAACCCAGUUGCAGUUGCCUUUGCUGCCCAGGGAAGAGGUAGAGGCCGGAAUAUGGGCAAUGUUCAGUGUUAUAGCUGCAAGGAAUAUGGCCACAUUGCUAACAAUUGUAGAAAGAAGUUCUGCAAUUAUUGCAAACAUCAAUGGCAUAUUAUCAAGGAGUGUCCCACUCGCCCUCAAAACCGGAAAAUACAGGCCUUUCCAGCGGUGGUAUCUGAAAGCUCAUCUGUGACAGUCGCUACCAAUUCUCUUACUCUAGAAAUGGUGCAGCAAAUGAUCAUUACAGCCCUCUCGGCCCUAGGGCUACAAGGUAAUACUUCCAAUUCACAACUUUGGCUUGCUGAUUCCGCUGCUUCAAAUCAUAUGACCAACUCAUCUAGUAUGCUUAAGAAUGUGCGAGAGUAUCAUGGUUCAUCACAGAUUCAGGUUGCUAAUGGUGGUCAUAUACCCAUCACUAAAAUUGGAGAUAUUGAUCCCACCUUCACGAAUAUUUUUGUAUCACCGGAACUGUCUACUAGCCUUAUUUCAGUUGGUCAACUGGUGGAUGAUAACUGUGAUGUGCAUUUUUCUCGUAAUGGUUGUCUUGUGCAGGAUCAGGUGUCGGGGAAAGUAAUCGCGAAGGGGCCUAAAGUUGGACGCUUAUUUCCGCUGCAUUUUUCCAUUCCUAGUUGUCUUUCUUUUGCAUGCUCGAAUGUUCUAAAUAAAAGUGAAGUCUGGCAUAAACGUUUAGGCCAUCCAAAUUCUGUUGUUUUAUCGCGAUUGUUGAAUUCUGGUUUGUUGGGAAAUAAAGAUAAAUUUUCUUCUUUCGAUGCUUUGAUUGAUUGUUCAACAUGUAAGUUAGGUAAGAGUAAAACUCUUCCUUUUCCUUCUCAUGGUAGUCGUGCCACAAAAUGUUUUGAUAUUAUUCAUAGUGAUGUUUGGGGACCUUCACCGAUACUUUCUCAUGCUCAUUCCAAGUACUUUGUAACUUUUAUUGAUGAUUAUAGUAGGUUUACUUGGGUAUACUUCCUACGUUCCAAAUCUGAGGUUCUUUCCGUCUUUAAGACAUUUCUUGCCUAUGUUGAAACCCAAUUUUCUACUGGUAUUAAGGUAUUAAGAUCUGAUUCGGGUGGGGAAUAUAUGUCACGUGACUUUCAUGAUUUGUUACUACAAAAAGGCAUUAUUUCACAUCGUUCUUGUCAAUAUACACCUCAACAAAAUGGGGUUGCUGAGCGUAAGAAUCGACAUUUGUUGGAUGUCACUAGAACCUUAUUGCUUGACUCGUCUGUUCCCUCUAAAUUCUGGGUUGAAGCAUUGUCUACUGCUGUUUAUUUAAUCAACCGUUUGCCCUCCCAAGUGUUAAAUUUCGACUCCUCUUAUUAUCGUCUAUAUCAUGAGGCUCCUAGCUACUCUGAUUUGCAUACUUUUGGUUGUGUCUGUUUUGUUCAUUUGCCUUCUAAUGAACGCCACAAACUUUCUGCUUAGUCUGCUAAAUGUGCUUUUCUAGGUUAUAGUAUUUCUCACAAAGGUUUUGUUUGUUAUGAUCUAAGUUGUAGCAAAUUUCGUGUCUCUCGAAAUGUGGUCUUCUUUGAAAAUCAAUAUUUUUUCCCUACUGCUACUCCUGCUGCAUCUUCAUUGCAUGCUCUUAUUCUUCCUCAUUUUGAGGACAUGUCGUCAUUUGAGCGGUUUAAACCUGGAAUUAUGUAUGAAAGACGGUGCCUAAUUUUGGCUCUUCCGGAUACUAACCCACCAUCUGAUACUGCUUCUGAGACUGCUUCGGUACCUUCCCCUCUGCAGCCUGCUCUUCGUCGUUCUACGAGGGUUUCUUAUCCUCCUGAUAGGUUUGGUUUCUCUGCUACUCUAUCCAAUAUUAUUGUUCCAUCAUGUUACUCACAGGCUGUCCAGCAUGAGUGUUGUCAAACCGCCAUGCAGGAAGAACUUUGUGCGCUUCAGGAUAAUCAUACAUGGGAUCUUGUUUCAUGUCCUCUAUCGGUUAAACCCAUUGGGUGUAAAUGGGUAUAUUCCAUAAAGCUUCGCUCUGAUGGCACUCUAGACCGCUAUAAAGCUCGGUUGGUUGCUCUGGGGAAUCGACAAGAAUAUGGGGUGGAUUAUGAAGAGACUUUUGCCCCCGUAGCUAAAAUGACUACUGUGCGCAUUAUUAUUGCCAUUGCUGCUUCACAGGGUUGGCCACUUCAUCAAAUGGACGUCAAAAAUGCGUUUCUUCAUGGUGAUCUCAAAGAGGAUAUUUAUAUGGCACCUCCACCGGGUUUGGUUUCAUCUUCUAAAUCGGUUGUUUGUAAAUUGAAGCGGUCCUUUUAUGGUUUGAAACAAGCUCCCCGAGCAUGGUUUGAUAAGUUUCGCACUACCUUGCUUCGCUUCUCUUUUGUGCAAAGCAAAUAUGAUUCUUCAUUAUUUCUUUGCACAACAUCUACUAGGUAUGUUUUCCUACUUGUUUAUGUCGAUGACAUUGUCAUUAUAGGCACUGAUUCGACAUUGAUUAACAGACUUCAGCAACAUCUUCGGGAUUCCUUUCAUAUGAAGGACCUUGGUUCUCUCACUUACUUCUUGGGUUUGGAGGUUCAUUCUUCCCCUUCUGGUAUUUAUGUGCACCAACAGAAAUACACUCAUGAUUUGAUUGCUUUGGCCGGUCUUCAAGCUUCUUCUCCAGUGGAUACUCAUUUGGAGGUGAAUGUUAAGUUUCAAAGUGAUGAUGGGGAUCUUCUUCCUAAUCCAUCUUUGUAUCGACAACUUGUUGACAGCUUGAAUUAUCUUACUAUUACUUGACCUGAUAUCUCCUUUGCAGUUCAGCAAGUCAGUCAAUUUAUGCAAUCUCCUCAUCAUCUACACUUAGCAGCAGCCCGUCGCAUCAUUCGAUAUCUACUUGGUUCUUCUAACUGUGGUCUAUUCUACCCAGCUGGAUCUCCUAUUAGUCUUGUUGCAUACAGUGAUGCCGAUUGGGCUGGUUGUCCUGAUACCAGACGCUCUGUUACAGGUUGGUGUAUGUUUCUUGGUGAUUCCUUGAUUUCUUGGAAACGUAAGAAACAAGAUCGAGUCUCCAAAUCCUCCACCGAAUCUGAAUAUCGCGCCAUGUCCGCUGCCUGCUCAGAAAUUGUUUGGCUUCGUGGCCUGCUUGCCGAGAUGGGAUUUCACCAGACUACUCCUACUCUCCUCCAUGCAGACAACACGAGUGCUAUUCAGAUUGCUACGAAUCCCGUCUUCCAUGAGCGCACCAAACAUAUUGAAGUGGAUUGUCACUCUAUCCGCGAAGCUGUUGAUGCUCAUGUUAUUUCUCUUCCACAUAUCUCCACCGAUCUCCAGAUUGCUGACGUGUUCACCAAAUCCAUGACUCGACAACGACAUCAGUUUUUGGUUGGCAAAUUGAUGCUUAUUAAUCAUCCAGCAUCAAUUUGAGGAGGGAUGUUAGCAUAGGCAGUAGUUGUUAUUGAUAGAAAUACAGCUGAAAUAGGAGUGUAAUUAUAGGAUAAGUAUCUUCCUAUAAUUUAGGCCUAAAUUAUAGGAAUGUAAUGUAAAUCAGGAUUGAUGUAAAUCAGGAUUCCUUCCUAUUUAAGGAACGAGACUCUCAUGUAAAGGGAUGGAUUCAACCAAUUUGACACUUGCAGGUGAAUUGACCCCGCUGUGAAGGCACACCGCCUCUGAGCUGUGAAACCGCGCUAGAAGUGGCGGCAUCACAAGUUGGCGCAGAUGCAUCGCCGUGAUCAGCACCUAAGAAGAUGUCCUCCUCGCUGCUAGAAGAACUAGCUGCAACCGUAUGCUGACGACGUGCUGUAGAUUUCAUUCGACGCAUCUACACAAAUGUAUAUGAAUUAUAACAUAAUUAACUUUGAUUAUUUAAAAACAAUUCAGCAGCACCUCCCCUAUACUGGAGACUACCUACAGUUUUCAAAACUGCAAUCUUUACAAUAACCACAAUCCAUAUAAUCUCCAGCAACAUCAUAUAUACAACCUAAUAUCUAUAGAAAUUCAAUCAUUAAAAAAAAUUCGACAGCACCUCCCCUAUUUUGGAGACUACCCACAGUUUUCAAACCUGCAAUCUUUACAAUAACCACAAUCCAUAUAAUCUCCAGCAACAUCAUAUAUACAACCUAAUAUCUAUAGAAAUUCAAUCAUUAAAAAAAAUUCGAUAGCACCUCCCCUAUAUUAGAGACUACCCACAGUUUUCAUACCUAUAAAUAUUGAUAAUUACACAAAUAUUGCAAAAUCAACUCUAUACAACCUAACAUCUAUAGAAAUUCAACGUCUAUAUAUUUUCAACUACCAUCAAUACAAAUUCAUAAAUAACAAUUAAAAUUAAUCAAAAUAAGAAACAACAUAACUAAAAAAAAUAAAUAGAAUGAAAAAAUAAAAAAACUAAUUAAAUUUAAUUCUAUAUUUCAAUUCACAUUUAAAACAUAAAAUAAAAUGAAAAAACUAAAUAACACUACACAAAACAUCCUAAAUACAAAACAAACAAUACACAAAACUAAAAAAACACUACAUCAAUUCAAAAUAAAUUUAGGAAUAAAAAAAUUGCUUACCUUAAAGUGUGUUGAUUUUAAGAUUUUAUCUACAAACAAUACACAAAACAAAGAACACCAAAAAAAUAAUGAUAAUUAAAAUAAAAAAAUAAAAAAAAUACAAAGAUAAAGAAAAAAGAUUACAUACCUUUUAAUAUGUUUAAAACUACCACCACAACAAUAAAAUCUCUUUCAAAAACUAAACUCAAACGGAGAGGAGAAGAGAAAUAGAGAUGAGAGCCGAGAGAAAAAAUGAACCAAAUGGGGGGGUUUUAUAUACCAAUUUUUCUGACGGUAUUACGACAGACCAUUAAUUGUUGUCGGUGGCAUUAAAUUCCGUCUGUAAUUUCUGCCGGUAAUAAAUUGAUAUUCGCACCAAAAAUUUUGAAAAUCCCGCCUGACUUUUCGAUCCGUCGGAAACAGUGCCGCCUGCAAUUCCAUCGAUAAGCGUGCUGACCGACCACGCCUCUGACAGGCGUGCACUUCGGGAUGUGCGCUUUCCAUCGGUGUACCCGUCGGUAAUUGUGGUACAAGUCCGUAAUUUUUUUCCAACUCUCGGUGAACUACCAACGAGUACCAAUCCAUCGGUGUACCCGUCGGUAAUUAUGGCACAAGUCCGUAAUUUUUUUCCAACUCUCGGUAAAAUACCGACGGGUACCAAUUUGUCGGUGUACCCCUCGGUAAUUUUACCAAUCCGUCGAUGUACCCGUCGGUUUUUGUGGCACAAGUCCGUAAUGUUUUUCCAACUCUCGGUAAAAUACCUGAUUAGAGACCAAAUACAAUGUCACCGUACUCUGACACAACAUCAAGCAAUUCUUCACCGGAAAGACGCGGGGGUGCAACAUCCUUUUCAACUCUACCAACAAAGAAAUCAUUUCUGUUCUUUUUGUACCUAUGAUUCAGCGGCAAGAAACGACGGUGACAGUAAAAAAAAGAAGCUUUACCCCCGUUUGUUAGCGUGAAUGCCUUGUUGUUCUCCAUACAGUAUGGACAUGCUAGCUUUCCAUGCGUACUCCAACCAGAAACCAUUCCAUAAGCUGGAAAACCAUUGAUAGUCCACAUCAAAGCCGCUCUCAUAACAAAAUUAUGUUUCCUCGAGAUGUCAUAAGUCACAGCUCUAGAGAACCACAACUGCGUCAACUCAUCAAUCAACGAACGAAGACAAACAUCUAUAUUCCGACCCGGACAACUCGGACCUGAUAUGACUAUAAAUAAAAACAUGAACUCCGGCCUCAUACACAUCCCCGGUGGCAAGGUAUAAAUCAUCAGCAUGACCGGCCAACAAGAAUAAGAAGCAGCAAAUGACCCGAAUGGGUUAAAUUCGUUUGUACACAACCCAAGACGCACGUUCCUUGAUUCAGCUGAAAAGUGAGGAUGCACAAUGUUAAAGUGUUUCCAGGCUUCACCGUCAGAAUGAUGCACCAUCACUCCAUCAACCGCAUGAUGUGAUUGUCAUGUCAUGUGCUCAGCAGUCCUUGGUGACAUGAAUAACCUCUGCGGUCUAGGCGUGAUUGGGAAGUAUCUAAGUUUUUUAUAUGCCACGAGAGUCUUCCCUCUACCAGUUCUGGGUUUGUAACGGGAAUGCCCACAUGUCAUGCACUCAGUCAGCUCAGCAUUUUCAAGGUAGUAUAACAUGCAGAAGUUAGGGCAAAUGUUAAUUUUCAAGGUAGUAACCUAAACCGAGGGGUUUCAUCAUGAACUUGGCAACAUAGAAGUUCUCUUUCAGCCUGUUCCCUUCAGGUAAAAUGCUUCUCGCCCAUUCGAUAAUCUUGUCAUAACCGGCCUCACUCAACUCGUGAUCUGACUUGAUGGUGAACACCUGUGCUACGACCGAUAAUUUACUGUGGUUUGUGCAGCCAUCCCAUAAUAGUUCGUCAAAAUCUUUCAACAGAUCAAAAAACUUUGCUGCAUCUGCAUUAGGUUCUUCUUCUACGAUUGGAUAUUCACUGACAUUACCUUCACUCAUUCUCAUUGCAUCCAUAACCAUAUUCCUGUAAGGAUUACUGUUCUCAUUUCCAACUUCAUGCAUGUUGCUAGCACUAGAAGUUGACCCGACCACCCUUUCAACCAUGCUCUCAUUAGGAACAAAUAGUUCUCCAUGUGCAUACCAACACAGGUAAUCCUCCAUGAACCCUUUCGUUAGAAGAUGCAUCGUUACAACAUCUUGAUGCAGAAACUUUAAUUUUUUACACUUCUGGCAUGGACAUCUAAUACCGCGAUCAGUAAAAUUUCUUGGGAUAGAUGUUGCAAAAUUAAUAAAACCCUGAACACCGUUACAAUAAUCCAUCCUCCGCAAUCCUUGGGGUGAGUCCCGGUACAUCCAUGAACGAUCAUCCAUGACUUCUAUUGAAUCUCUAUAAAACAUAACAAAAAUAUUGGUUUCUUAUGUUAAAUAUUCAUUAUCAAUUAUCCAACAAACUAAAAAAACACUUAUGUUAAAUAUUCAUUAUCAAUUAUCAACUAUCAACGUUCAUACAUACAAAUUUAUACAUAUAUAAAUUUACAGAAAUCACAACUUCGCAAUAGAAUUGAUAACAAUUAAAACAGACCCGUUAAACAAGCUAUUAUUUAUUUCAUCACAACACAUCUAAUUCGGUGUAAUUCAAACAAAAUUUCAACAAUUUACAAACAAAUACAAUUUGACAAAAUCUAAAACAAACUAUAACAACUACAAAAUUAUACAUUCAUACUACAAGUUUCUUCGACAAAUAACAAUCAAACCAGUACAUACGUUAACAAAAUACAUAUACUAAAAACAAUAAAAUUCACAUUUAAAUGUUAAAACUAAAAAGGAUAGAUUUACUUACAAAAAAUAAUAAAAUCCACAAGAACGGAUGUUGUGACCACGUACAAACGUAUAAGAAACUUGAGUGCUUGUGUUGAGAAGAGGGGAGAGUUGGGAUGGGUGGUUGGCUGCAGUUUGGGAGGGGAGAGGUGGGAUAGGGAAGAAGAAGGAGAAACAGAGGAAGAGAGUGUCGGCAGAGUGGGUAUAUACUGGCUUUUACCGAUAGAAUCACCGACGGCCACGUUUCGUCGGUAUACCUGUCGGUGAUUCCGCCGGUGGAAGUGUCACGUCGUUGUACGGCUAUCCCAGUUUGAAUCCCUCGGUAAUGUCGUUGGUAAAAUCAUCUGAAAAAAUUCACGUCAUCACGCCGUUGCAACUUAAAAAAAAAAAAGGUGUCUUGGCCGUCGGCGAUACAGUCGGUAUAUACCGACAGACGUAUUUCGUUGGUAUAUACCGACCGUCUCCCCGACAGAAUAUAUCGGUCAGUAAAUACCGACAGAUUUUGAGACGGAAUUAUUUCCGUCCGUAAAAAUUUCUGACGAAAAAUAUUCCGUCGGUAAUUUCGUUGGUGUUAUCUGAUUUUCUGGUAGUGGUGCUUAUAUAUUGUGGUCAAAGCUUCCCUACCCAUUUUCGUUAAUACUAUACCGAUGGUUGAGCUCAUCAUAAACAAACUGCUAACCUCCGCAGACAUCAGAUGCCGUCUAGCAUACCCUACAAAAAAUCUGUAGGCUUUCCCAAUGCCCACAGGGAAACAUAAUGUCUAGUUCAGAGUAACAGACACCCUUGGGCAAGCAUGGAACCCUAAGCUGUCUGUUCGGAUUCAUGGCCCUUACAAGAAACCUGUCAUCACAGGUGAUUGGUUACAGUUCUCUCGCAAAAAAGGCCUCGCGGUGGGAGACAGAAUCGUUCUGAGCAGGGAGAUCGAUGGGAAAAAUGGAAAAGGAUACAGCAUUAACACCCAAAGGAGGAUAUUUAAUGGUCGGGUCAAUGGUGAGCAAUGAGUAGUCGCCUACUCCAUGUCUUCUGUUUUAAAUUUAUGAUCUAUGCUUUGUUGUGCUGCCCGACUCUCAUAAGAAUUAAUAAAUUUUCUUCCCUUUCUCUAUCCAGCCAGAAAAGAGGGAGGCUGCCUUAUCUCAUAUAUAUAAUCGUACCCUUUUCAUUUUAGAUUAUGUGUGACAAAAUGCUUUUUUGGUGUUAUAUAAUGUGCAGGCAGCAUUAUAUGAUGCAAUGAUGAAGUAAUAUGACUUUUAGAAACGCGUUUGAACGACAUUUUAAAAAAAAAUUAUAUUUUUGAAUUUUUUGGAUAUAUUAAAAUUAAAAUUAUUUUUUUAAAAAAAUUAUUUUAAUAUAUUUUUAAAUAAAAAAUAAUUUUAAAAAUAAUUUUUGUUAUUCUCUCCAACACCUAUAAAUAAUAAUUUCUAUGAAUUGCUGCAGGUACGGCAUUAACUAAGAGCGUGUUUGGCAGUGUGGUUGCGGGUGCUUUUGAAAUAGCUUUUCGUGCCGAAAUGCAUGCCAAUGAUGUUUUUUUAUUUUUUAAAAAUUAUUUUUGACAUCAGCACAUCAAAACGAUCCAAAAAGUACAAACCGCACUCAAUUUUAGCAAAAAAAAAAAAUCAAAUUUGGACGAAACGCAGGUACAAACGCAAUACCAAACGUUCUCUUAGGAACUACGAGUAUUUUUUAGAACACGGUUGAAACCGUAUUUUUUUAAAAUUUAAAAUUUAUUUUUUUUGUUAAAAAUUAUUUUUUUAUAUUUUUAGAUUUUUUUGAUGUCCUAAUAUCAAAAAUAAUUUUUUUAAAUAAAAAAACAUCAUCUUAAUACAUUUAUAAAUAAAAAAUAAUUUAAACCACAAACAUUAUCACAAUCUCAAAUAGUCUAUUAAUUACCUUGACCUUUAGAAUUUGAUCACUCACAUUAUAUUUCAAGAAUCAAAACAUAUUUUUAAAAAAAAAAAUCAAAACAUAUUUAAUUAGUAUGUUGUAUGUUCAAAGUUUUCUGUAAUCACAGGUAAUGUGUUAGGUACUGUGUUUAAAUAAUGUUUUUUAAAAAUUUUAAAUUUUUUUAUUUUAAAUUAAUAUAUUUUUAAUAUUUUUAAAUCAUUUUGAUAUGCUAAUCUUAAAAAUAAUUUUUAAAAAAAUAAAAAAAUAUUAUUAAUAUAUUUUUUUAAUAAAAAAUACUUUAAAAAUUAAUUGUAAGCACACUAUUAAUGUAAAUAUACAAAGAAAACCAUCUAGGUGGUGGCCCAGUGAUAAGAGCUUGAGACUAAGAAAUUUGCUUCCUCUGUGGUCUCAGGUUCGAGCCUUGUGGUUGCUCAUAUGAUGGCCACUGGAGGUUUACAUGAUCGUUAACUUCAGGACCCGUGAGAUUAGUCGAGGUAUGCGCAAGCUGACCCGGACACUUAAACUAAUAUAUAUAUAUAUAUAUAUAUAUAUAUAUAUAUAUAUAUAUAUAUAUAUAUAUAUAUAUAUAUAUAUACAAAGAAGCUUGGCCCAUUUAUAUCAUGACGUUCAUGCUGAUCCCAAAAACCACUUGAUGCGACUUAAUUUCUUCAUUUGAGAAAAAGCAAAUCAAGAAAAAAGAAAGCAUAAAAAGCCGUGCCAGCUGAUAUCUUUUCAAAGCAUCACAAUAUCAAAUUAUCGGCACCCAACUUAAGACCCUACGUACAACAAUAAUUUGUAAUCAUAUUAUUAUUAUUAUUAUUAUUAUUAUAUUAUUAUAAUAUAUACUAAAACAGCUCAGUAUUUUAUUAUCCAAGUCUUCAAUGAAAUACUAGCAGUCUGUUUUUUUUUUUUCUUAAACUGAGCUGUUUUUUUUUUUUUUUUUUUUUUGAGCUGUCUUUUUUUUAAUGUCUUUCAAGGUUUUUUUUUACUUCUUUCUUUGUUUGUUUCUUUUAAUAUUUUUUUUUGUUUAAUUUAAUUUAUUAAUGUUAAAUUAUUUUUAUUUAGUUAUUAGACUUUCAUUACACGGAUCCCGGGUUUAACAGGUUAACUUGGUUUGACAAGUUAACCCAGAUUUUUUUUUGUUUUUUUUGUUUUUAAUUAAUUUCUUUUGUUUACUUUAGUUUGUUAAUGUUAAAUUUCUUUCUAUUUAGUUAUCAGAAUUUCAUGACACAUAUCCCAGGUUUGACGGGUUAACCUGGUUUCACUGGUUAACCCAUUUAUUUUUUUUGUUUUUUUUCUUUUAAUAAAUUUUUUUUAUUUAAUUUAGUUUGUUAAUGUUAAUUUUUUUUAUUUAGUUAUCAGACUUUCAUGACACGGAUCCCGGGUUUAACGGGUUAACCUGGUUUGACGAGUUAACCCGGAGUUUUUUUUUUGCUUUUUUUCUUUUUAAUUAAUUUUUUUCGUUUAGUUUAGUUUGUUAAUGUUAAAUUUCUUUCUAUUUUGUUAUCAGGCUUUCAUGACAUAUAUCCCGAGUUUUAUGGGUUAACCUGAUUUCACGGAUUAACCCAGUUAAUUCUGAGUUAACCCGUCAAUUUUUUUUUCUAUUUAGUUAUCAAACUUUCAUGACGCGAAUCCCGGGUUUGACGGGUUAACCUGGUUUGAAGGGUUAACCCAAUUAAUUCAGAUUUUUUUUCUUUUUCUUCAUUAGUUUUUUUCUUCAUGUUGGUUUUUAUUCAUUAGUUUUUCUUUUUUUAAUUAAUAUAUUUAAUUAUCACACUUUUAUAACACGACCUUGCAGCUAGACCUGCAUCCAAAGCUCUUGGGUCUGGUGUUGCAGCCAGACUCACUUAAACUUGAGUCAUGUAAGUUAAAUAUUAUUAUUAUUAUUAUAAAUAUUAUUAUUGGGUCAAGCAUUGCAGCUAUAGCCAAGGCUUUUGGGUAUCUAUUUACAGAAAAACCUAACACUCUUAGACCUUAGCUUUUUUUAUAUUUUUUAUGCAAGAAAAAAAAUAACCCGUGGUGCAUGCCUUUGUUUUUUUUCCUUUCCUUUUCCUUUUUAAGCCUUUUACUGUGGAUUGCACAGUGCAGUCCACAGUGAAAAAGUUGAUGCCUUUAGUUUUUUUUUGCCUUUUUGUGUGUUUUUGUUUAGUAAUUAAUUUUUUUAAUUUACUUUCUUAAUAUUAAAUUUUUUCUAUUUAAUUAUCAUACUUUUAUGACACGGAUCUCAGAUUUGAGGGGUUAACCCAGUUGAUUCAGAUUUUUUUUCUUUUUCUUCAUUAGUUUUUUUCUUCCCGUUGAUUUUUUCCUCUUUGCUUUUUCCUUUUUAAUUAAUCUUUUUUUUUUAAUUUAGUUCAUUAAUAUUAAAUCUUUUUUCUAUUUAGUUAUCAUAUUUUCAUGACAAGAAUCCAGAUUUGACGGGUUAACCUGAUCUGGCGGGUUAACCCAGUUGAUUCAGAUUUUUUUUCUUUUUCUUCAUUAGUUUUUUUCUUUCAAUUUUUUUUUAUAUUGUAUGCAGUACUCAGUGAAAAGGCUGAUGCCUUUAGUUGUUUUUUUUUCUUUUUUUUUCUUUUUAUGCCUUUUCACUUUGGAUUGCACAAUGCAGUCCACGGUGAAAAGGCUGAAACCUUUUUCUUCUUUUUUUAUUAAUUUUUUUUUAAUUUAGGUUGUUGAUAUUAAUUUUUUUUCUAUUUAGUUAUCAGACUUUUAUGACAUGGAUUUCAGGUUUGACGGGUUGACCCAGUUAAUAUAGAUUUUUUUUCUUUUUCUUCAUUAGUUUUUUUUCUUCUUAUAGGUUUUUUUCCUUUUAUUUUUUCUUUUUAAUUAAUAUUUUUUUUGUUUAAUUUAGUUCAUUAAUAUUAAAUUUUUCUCUAUUUAGUUAUCGACUGAUGCCUUUAGUUUUUCUUUCUUUUUCUUUUUCUUUUUUUGUUGUUUUUAUAGCGUUGACUGUGGAUUGCACAGUGCAGUCCACAGUAAAAAGGCUAGUGCUUUUUGUUUGUUUUUGUUUUUUUUCCUUUUUAAUUAAUUUUUUCUUUUAAUUUGGUUUGUUUAUGUUAUUUUUUUUAUUUAGUUAUAAGACUUUCAUGACACGGAUCUCAAGUUUGACGGGUUAGCCCAGUUAAUUCAGAUUUUUUUUCUUUUUCGUCAUUAGUUUUUUUCUUCAUAUAGGUUUUUUCUUCUUUUUUUUCUGUUUUUAAUUAAUUUUUUUUAAGAUUUAGUUUGUUGAUAUUAAAUUUCUUUCUAUUUAGUUAUCAGACUUUCAUUACACGGAUCUCAGGUUUGACGGGUUAACACAGUUAAUUUAGAUUUUUUUUUCUUUUUCUUCAUUAGUUUUUUUCUUCCUAUAGGUUUUUUUUUUUCUUUUAACCCAAUUAGUUUUUUUUUUCUUUUUGCUUUUUCGCCGUUUCUAUGCCUUUGACUGUGGACUGCACACUGCAGUCCACAGUGAAAAAGCUGAUGCCUUUUAUUUUUUUCCUUUUUAAUUAAUUUUUUUUUGUUUAAUUUAGUUUGUCAAUGUUAAAUUUUUUUUCUAUUUAGUUAUCAAACUUUCAUGAUACGGAUCUCAGAUUUGACGGGUUAGCCCAGUUAAUUCUGGGUAACCCGUCAAUUUUUUUUUUAUUUAGUUAUCAAACUUUCACGACACAAAUCCAAGGUUUGACGAGUUAACCUGGUUUGAAGGGUUAACCCAGUUAAUUCAUAUUUUUUUUCUUCAUUAGUUUUUUUCUUCAUGUUGGUUUUUUUUCUAUGUUUUUUUUAAUUAAUCUAUUUAAUUAUCACACUUUUAUGAUACGACCUUGCAGCCGGACCCACAUCCAAGGCUAUUGGAUCUGAUAUUGCAGUCAGACCCACUUAAACUUGGGUUAUCCAAGUUUAAUAUUAUUAUUAUAUUAUAAAUAUUACUCUUGGGUCAGGCGUUGCAGCCAAACACAAGGCUCUUGGAUAUAACUUUGCAAAAAAACUUAAAACUUUUAGAUUUUAACUUUUUUUAUAUUUUUUAUACAAAACAAAUAGACUCACGGCAACGCGCGGGUCAUCUAACUAGUAACAUAUUCUAAAACGCAUGGGAAAUUACUGUAGUUUUCCCACGCGUUUUACACUCUCUCUAUUAUUAAUAUAUUAUAUUAUUAUAACUAUUAUUAUAUUAUAUUAUAUUAUAACAUAUACUAAAGAGUAAAUAAAAUGCUGAACUUUUUUUUAAUUUUUUUCUUUUAAUGAAUUGUUUUUUGUUUAAUUUAGUUUGUUAAUGUUAAAUUUUUUUAUUUAGUUAUCAGACUUUCAUGAAACGGAUCCCGGAUUUGAUGGGUUAACCUAGUUUGACGAGUUAACCCGGAAUUUUUUUCUAUUUAAUUAAUUUUUUUCGUUUAGUUUAGUUUGUUAAUGUUAAAUUUUUUUCUAUUUAAUUAUCAGACAUUCAUGACACGUAUCUCGAGCUUGACGGGUAAACCCAAUUAAUUCUGGGUAAACCCGUCAAUUUUUUUUCUAUUUAGUUAUCAAACUUUCAAGACGCGAAUAUCAGGCUCGACGGGUUAACCCAGUUAAUUCAGAUGUUUUUUCUUUUUCUUCAUUAGUUUUUUCUUUGUUUUUUUAAUUUUUAAUUAUCACACUUUUAUGACACGACCUUAUAGCUAGACCCACAUCCAAUGCUCUUAGGUCCGGUGUUGUAGCCAGACUCACUUAAACUUAAGUCAUGUAAGUUUAAUAUUAUUAUUAAUAUUAUAAAUAUUAUUCUUGGGUCAAGCAUUGCAGCUAGACCUAAGGUUUUUGGGUAUAACUUUGAAGAAAGUCCUAACACUCUUAGAUCUUAGUAUUUUUUGAUAUUUUUUAUGCAAGAAAAAAAAAUUAACUUGUGGCGUAUGUCUUUGUUUUUUUUCCUUUUUCUUUUCCUUUUUAAGCCUUUUACUGUGGACUGCACGGUGCAGUCCACAGUGAAAAAGCUUAUGCUUUUAGUUUAUUUUUUUUUCUAUAGUUUCUUAGUAUUAAAUUUUUUCUGUUUAAUUAUCAGGCUUUCAUGACACGGAUUCCAGCUUUGAUGGUUUAACCCUUUUGAUUCAGAUUUUUUUCUCUUUUUUCAUUAGUUUUUUUUUCCUGUAGGUUUUUUUCUCUUUGCUCUUUUCUUUUUAAUUAAUCUUUUUUUUAAUUUAUUUCAUUAAUAUUAAAUCUUUUUUCUAUUUAGUUAUCACACUUUCAUGACACGAAUCUCAGGUUUGAUUGGUUAACCUGAUUUGGCGGGUUAACCCAGUUGAUUUAGAUUUUUUUUUCUCAUUAGUUUUUUUCUUCCGAUUUUAUCUUUUAAUAUUGUAUGCAGUCCACAGUGAAAAGGCUGUUGCCUUGUUUUUUUUUGCUUUUUUUUUCUUUUUAUGCCUUUCACUGUGGACUGCACGGUGCAGUCCACGGUGAAAAGGCCGAUGCCUUUUUUUUUUUUUCUUUAGUUUGUUGAUAUUAAAUGUUUUUCUAUUUAGUUAUCAAACUUUAAUGACACGGAUCUUAGAUUUGACGGGUUAACCCAGUUAAUUUAGAUUUUUUUUUCUUUUCUUCAUUAUUUUUUUCUUCUUAUAAGUUUUUUUUUCAGUUAUUUUUUCUUUUGAAUUAAUAAUUUUUUUAUUUAAUUUAGUUCAUUAAUAUGAAAUUUUUUUCUACUUUCUGGUUAAUGCCUUUUUUCUAUGUUGUUAUCUUAGGUUUGGCUAAUUAGAGAAAUUUUUUUUUCUUUUUGCUUUUUUGCCGUUUUUAUGCUUUUGACUAUGGAUUGCACAGUGCAAUCCACAGUGAAAAGGCUAAUGUUUUUUGUUUGUCUUGGUUUUUUUUUUAUUUUAAUUAUUUUUUUGUUUAAUUUAGUUUGUUAAUGUUCAAUUUUUUUCUAUUUAGUUAUCAAACUUCCAUGACACGGAUUCCGAGUUUGACGGGCUAGUCCAAUUAAUUCUAGGUAACCCGUUAAUUUUUUUUCUAUUUAGUUAUCAAACUUUCACGACACGUCCAAGGUUUGACAAGUUAAACUGCUUUGAAGGGUUAACCCAAUUAAUUCUGAUUUUUUUCUUUUUCUUCAUUAGUUUUUUUCUUUCUGUUAAUUUUUUUCUUUGUUUUUUCUUUUUAAUUAAUCUAUUUAAUUAUCACACUUUUAUGACACAACCUUGCAGCCAGACCCAUAUCCAAGGUUAUUGGGUCUGGUAUUGCAGUCAAACCCACUUAAACUUAGGUCAUACAAGUUUAAUGCUAUUAUUAAUAUUAUAAAUAUUACUUUUAGAUCAGGCGUUGCAUCCAAACCCAAGACUUUGAGGUAUAGCUUUGCAGAAAAACCUAACACCUUUAAAUCUUAAUUUUUUUGAUAUUUUUUAUGCAAAAAAAUUAACCCGCGGCAUCAAGCGGUCAUGUAACUAGUUCUCUCUAUUUUCCAGCGACUGACUCUUUAUCUUUCUCUGUUGUUUAUUCAUGGCAAAAGGUGAUAUUUUCAAAAGAGGACUUGAACUCCCUAGCGGAUGCUUUUAUUUGAAUAUAUAUAUAUAAUCAACGGAUACUCUUUCUCUUUUCCUUUCUUUUUUAUUCUUUCACGAUUUAAAAUUCUCAUGGGAGAUAUUGGAAAGUCAGCCAUGGCAACGUUUUUCCUGUAGAUUUUCUUGAGUUGUUCUGUUUGUGCUGCAAACAAAAUACAACUAUUUAGGUGUAUAUUAAUUCAGAUAAGUUGUUAGAUUUGUGGAUUGUGAUCUCCAAUCUCUUUGUUGAUGUUCAGCUUUUGAAUCAGCACAGGCAUAAAUCUCAUGAAUAUGCAGUUUUGCGGUUCUCUAUGCUUGUACCUUUUCUACGAGGGUCAUGUCAUGCAGAAGAGCAAAAUUCUGGGCUAAGUAGGUUGCCUGUGCAGCUUGGCCGACCCGUUGAAGAGAAUACUUUGUUAUUUACUUCAUCAAAGCGCUGACUUUCCCUUCCAUAAUUUUUCAAUUUUUAUUGGAUGGUGAUUUCUUUUUGUCUUAAUUAAUCAAUAUUUAUCAAAAUAUUUGAGGUUAUUUACUUCAUCAUUAAAAAAAAAACAAAUCCUCUUAAAUAAAACAAAUUUAUUACUUAUAUACUAAGACGCAUGAGAUUUUUGUUGUAUAUUUGUCAAUGCGUGAAUUUUUUUUCAGUUUGGUUCCCAAACUUUAUUUUUAGGCGAUCAAGCUCUAUUUAAGAAGUAAUUGAUUUCAAAUUCUUAUGAAAGUGUGAGAUUGAAAGAGGAGGGACCGAAAUGAAAAAUGCGGCAAACAUAAGUUAUGUACCAUAAGUUUUGAAAAUAUUCACUUUGGUCUUCCAACUUAAACAAUCAUGUAAAUUAUAUAAUUGCAAUUCCUCGAAAUUGUUCUAAUUCUAUUUUGGUACAGAGAUUUACUUUUUUUAUUUUUUUUUGUCCCUGUUUGAAAGAGGAGAGAGAGAGGUUGCCGAAUUCCGAUGGUAGAAAGAGAAAUUUGUUGUUGGCACCAAUUUAGGCCACUAAAAUGAGGGAUUUUUGUGUCAAAUUAUUCCAUUUGAUACGGAGAAUUCAUAUCAAGUUUUUUUGUACCUUAAAAGUUCGUGAAAAAACAUAUUUAAGCUCGAAUUGAUUUUUUAUUUCGGGUUGAGUUCAGUUUUUUAGGUGUUUUUUUUAGAUCGUGACUAGGUUUGUCAUGAUUUCUAAGGUGUGUUAUAAGUGUUUUGGGUCAAAAGAGCAUAAACCCUUAUUUUUUUGGCAAUCACAAUGCUCAAAAUCUAGACAAAAUAGGUGACACGUCGUCUCCACGACAGACGACGCGUCGUCUGUUAUUGAUAUGGUUGUCAUAUCUAAGGCGCUUAAACCUAGCAUGGUUACCAUGAAAAUAUAAUUUUAAAGAAUGCAAUUGAAAAUAAAUAAUGUGACGUGAUCGGUUAAAAAACUAAAAAAAAGUGAACAUAACUUUCUCUAUUUUGUUUUGUUCAGAGGGUAUCUUUUAAAUAAUUUUGAUUUUUUUUUAUUAUUCGUUUAAUUUUUGUAAAGGUUUUUCUGGUUCAUCUAUAAUUUUGUUUUUAUCUUUUAUAUAGAUAAACUAUGUUUUUUUUAAAUAUAAAAUAUUUAUUUUUAGAUGAUUUUUUUUAAUAUUGUAGCCUUACAUGUUAUUUUUUUUUAUUCAAUCAAAUUAAUGUCCUAUUUUUUAAUAUUAAAUAUCUUGAUCUACAUUUGUCUCUCGAUCUUUUAAGUUUUGUUUUUAAGUGUUAUUAAUGAUUAUUUAUUUAUUUAUUAGUAUAUAUAAUUCUUAGUUUAUUUGAUUACAUGUGUGCAUAAACCUUUUGAUUUGUUAUAUUUUUUGAACUAUUAAAAUAAAUUGAAAAAACUUGCAUACAUAAAUUUUUAUGAGAAACAAAAAUAUUUAACUCACGAUGGAGCAUGAAUCACGCAGCUAGUAGUAACUAAAUUGUGGAAUCUAACUUUUAAAAUAUGUCAUAGUCAAAUUUUUUUAUUGAAACAAACUUUAAUAUUUUUCUUUGUUUUUUUAAAUAUUAAAACAUUGUUUUGAUAAAAAAAAAUUCUUAGUUCAACAAUAAACCUGGAUUGGGUUAGAUUUUAGGUUAGAGAAUCACUGAAUUGAUAGAAGAAUUGAAUUGAUAUUCUUUUCCUCGCUACCUUAGGCCCCGUUUGUUUGCUGGAAAGUAGUUUCCAUUUGAAAAGUGAAUUCUGGAAAAAUGAAUUAUUUUCUAAUGUUUGGUAGUGUAAUGAAAAAUAAGUUGGAAAACACUUUCCAGUGUUUGGUUAUGUCAUGGAAAAUGAGCUGAAAAAUAACUUAUUAAUGUUUUAUUUUUCUCAAGUUUAUUAAAAUAAUGAGGAACAAAUCUUACAAAUUAAAAAGUUGAAUGAGAAUGAAAUUGAAAAAAAAAUAUAAUUUCAUAAAUUAUCUCAAAUCAAAUAAGUAAUAAUCAAAAUAAUAGAGAUCAAAUCUAAAAAAUAAAAAAAAUAAAAGAUGAAGAAAUUAAAAUAAUAAUAAUUAACAUUUCAUAAAUUAUUUCCAAUAAAAUAAGUAACAAUCAAAAGAAUGAGGACCAAAUUCGAUACAUAAAAAUUUUCAAUAAAAAAAUGAUAAGGGAAAAGCAAAUAACAAUUAUAAAAAUAAGGACCAAAGUUAAUAUAAAAAUUAAAUUUUAAGAGAUGAAAUUGAAAAAAUAAUAUUCAAAACAAAAUAUAUAUAGCAAUCAAAAGUUUGAGGAUCAAAUUUGAUAUAAUCAGCAAAUAAUAUGACAUUUCUAAAUUUUUCACAACUUCCGGAAAGUGUUUUCUGCCCAAAUUUUCCAGGAAAACACUUUUCUGGAAACCAAGCCAAAUUUUUCUUUGACUGGAAAGUGUUUUUCGUUGACUAACUUUUCUAAUGGCAAACAAACACAGGAAAGUUUGGAAAAUGAUUUCGCAGAAAGUGAAUUCCGGAAAACAAACAUAGCCUUAGAAGUAACUAAGUGGAAAAUAUUUGAUAUGUUUCUUAAUUCAAAUGUGGGCACGUAGCAUAAUAUGACUCUAAUAUGUAAACCUAAGACCCAUGAUCAUCACACAAAAUAUGACUACAACAAAUAACAAAAUUAGAGUUAUAAGUUUGCUAGACACUAACAUCUAAAACACAAACCAAAACCCCUUUCUCCAAGCCUCUUAAGCCAUCUCUAACCACAUCCUUGAGCGAAGAGAAACUUGGAUGGAUCGAGAGUAAGUUGAUGAAUAUUAUGACCGCAUUCGAGAGUCCAUUUCUGCCUCACAUUUUGCUUUACAAUUAUGCAAAACCAAAUUCCAGAGAUCAGGCAAUAAAAUAUAUCCAUUCUGUGACGGUUGUAUCUCUUCAAGAUCGAGCUAAUCACUCAAGCUCAAUGUGUUUUUUGUCACGACCAUCUUGGUCCAGGAUUCAACAUUACCAUACUCCUCCUUUAAUCAUAUAUUGAUAUCGUUCAGUAUUAAAAAUAAAUACAAGAUGUAAAAAAUGAAAUGUUAAAAUUCAAACUUUAGAACAGUUAAGAUUUAACCCGAUAAGAUAAAAACUCUCUUAUGAAUAGAGAUCUGCCUUGAACCGUAAACAAGAUCAACAAAUAUAAACACGACCUAGAAAAACAAUCAAACAACAAUGUAGUUUAUCUUAAAUAAAACAAUCAAACAAUAAGGGGUUGCACAACUAGUCUCUUACCCGAAUUCUCAUAUGCCAUAAGUUUUUAAUAAUCAUGAUAUUAAAUGAAAAUUCCUGAAACUUAAUUAUAAUUUUAUGAUUGAACCAAAAUUUAUUUCUUUUCCUAACAAUACCACACCUCAUCAAAAGACACAAUAAAAUAUCUCCCGUCAUCGACGAUGUCGCGGCGCACCCCGCGACACUCUUCUGUUUUACAUCUGCUGGUUAUUUGAUUUGCUGUUGAAAUUUUCUCUAUUUUCCAUGUUGAAGGUGUGGUGGUUAUACUUUUGAUUGAUUUAAUUUGCUGUUGGGAGUUUGGUUUUCUGGUUUGUUUGGAUGGGUAACAGAUCUGCUACUCUUUAUCCUUUUCUGUUGUUUUGUUUAUGGUAGAACUCCCACCUGGAAGUAAAGGGUGAUAUUUUCGUCUCUCUCAUCUCACUCCUCAAAGAACGCCCUGGCUCGAUGAAAAAAGAGAGGAGAUGCAUGGAUAUGGAUCCGUUGGUUAUUUCAUCUUCUGUUAGGAAAUUUCUCUAUUUUGUAGAUUGAAGUAAUAGAUAUGUCCCUCUCUUUCAUUUUUUCUUUCAUUCCUUUCUUUGAGCUUAAUUUUUUCUCCUAACUUUUUUUUUAUUUUAAAAUUAUUUUAUUGUAAUUUUUUAAAAAAAUAAAAAUAUUAUUUUAAUAUAUUUUUAAAUAAAAAAUAUUUAAAUAAAUAAUUAUUAAUAUAUAUAUAUAUAGGGAAUGGAAACUUGAACUGUAAAAUUAUAAGAAAAUUUUUUUUAGUUGUUGUCAAUUUUUUAAAAUAUAUUAAAAUAAUUAUUAAUUUUUUUAUUUUUACAUAUUUAAAUAUAUUAAUAUAAAAAAUAAUAAUAUUUUAAUAUAUUUUUAAAAAAUUUUAAAUUUUUUAAAAAUCACUCUUGGACGUCUCAAAAUAAAGAAGACGUCUUCGGUCCGGCUCAUGUUCCAAGGACGUCUCAAAAUAAAGAAGAUGUCUCAAAUAAAGAAGAGACCGAAGACGUCUUCGGUCCGGCUCAUAUUCAAAGGACGUCUCAAAAUAAAGAAGACGUCUUCGGCCCCCUCAUAUUCCAAGGACGCCACAAUUUCCUUGGACGCCACUUUCUCUGGAUUCUUCACACCCCGAUGCACAAAGGGUUUCUUCUCUUCUGUUUUAAAUCUGCUGUUUAUUGGAUGUGCUGUUCGAAAUUUUCUCUAUGUUCCAGGUUGAAAGUGUGGUGGUUAUCCUUUUGAAUGAUUUAAUUUGUUGGGAGUUUGGUUUUCUGGCUUGUUUAGAUCUGUAACAGAUCUAGGUUUUCUGGCUUGUUUGGAUCUGUUGGUUUUCUGGUUUGUUUGGAUCUGUAACAGAUCUGCCAUAAAUAUAUGGUUCUCUCUAUUUUCAAGCCACUGACUCUUUAUCUUUUUCUGUUGUUUUAUUCAUGGCAGGACUCUCACCUGGAAGUUAAGGGUGAUAUUUUCGUCUCUCCCAUCUCUCUUAUCAAAAGAGGGCCUGAAAGCUCUAGCUAGAAGGAAAAAAGAAAGAAGAGAUGCCAUGAAAGAAUUUGAUUAUUUGAUGUGUGGUUGAGAAAUUCAGCUGAUAUGAAACUGACAACAGUCCUUCUCUUCUCCCUCACCUAGUCUGGUUUUUUGUUUUUGUUUUUGUUUUUGUUUUUUUAAUCUCAGAAAACAACUCUCACCUGGUAAAGGGUGAUAUUUUCGUGUCUCUCAUCUCACACCACAAAAGAGGACUUGAACGUCCUAGAAUGAAGAGAAAAAAAAGAAUUGUUCUAGAUUUGUAAUUUUCAUGGGAGUGAUUGGCAAAAACAAUAAUAGAUGUUUGGUUCUCUCAAUGUUCCAGCCAUUGACUGUUUAUCUUUGUCUGUUUUUAUAUCGAUCAUCAUGGCCUCGGAACUCCAGGACGUCUUUUUCCUAUUUUUUCAUCUACCGCUCAGACGUGCACCCCAAAGGAGGUCUUGUUCUAGAUUUGUAAUUUUCAUGGGAGUUAUUGGCAAGAUACAUAUGGCUAUGUUUAUACUCUUAAUGAUUUGAUUUUUGAGUUGACUUUCUCGAGUUUUUCUGUUUGUGCUGAAAAAAAUAAAAAAAAUACAGCCUUUUGGAUGUCAUUUCAGAUAAAUUUUUGAUCUUUGGAUUGUGAUCUCCAAUCUCUUUGUUGAUAUUCAGCGCAUAAAAUUCAUUAAUUUGACAGAUAAAGUUUUGACUAAUUGAUUCUUUUUUGUUGCCUUGAAUUUCUACAUAUGCUGGAUAAAACAUUUGAUGAUGGCUAAAGAUACCAGGUGGGUGGAAACUCUGUACCAUAGCAUGUCCUUGUGCCAGGAACUUCUGAAUAGUACUGGAACCUCAUGUUGAAGAAACUGCUAAGUAGCUUCCUGAAGCUAAAUUUUCUGUAGGACCAGUGGUUCAGAAACACUACGCUUUUGCUUGGGUAGUUACUGGACAAAAUGCUUUCAAUCACUAUUCUCUAUCCAUUGCCUGAUCUAAAAGAUGCAAGGUAAUCAGUGGAUUUUUUUUCUUUCAAAUUCGUUUAUCUUUUUAUUGGAAAAUUUGGCAAUCUUCUAAUCCUUUAUCUAUUUGUUGUUCUUUUCAAAUUCAUUUUUAUUCAUUGCUUUUUUGUUCUCUAAUGCUGAAUUUAUUUGAAAAAAGUAGCAGGUUAAAACGAGAUUCUCAUCACAAAUCAUGAUCUCCCCUUAAUCAGAUAUAGCCUUAAAUUUGUUGGUGUACUUUGAUAUUGAUCAUUGUGUCCUCUAAUUCACUUUAUUUAAAUUGAUUUAUCAAAUUUGUGUUCAAAGUUAAUGAAUAAAUGAAAUUUAUCAUUAUGUGCUCAAAUUUAUCAAUCUUCUUCAGGGACUGGUUGAAUCUCAUGCGUGACAAAUGGCUUGCAGUUGGAGACAUAAUUGUUUUGACGAAGGAAGCAUUUGGAGAACAUGGAGUAAGCAACAUUUACCAAUUCAUCUGUUUUCUCUUGUUCUUGAUCUGCUUGAAUGAAAGGUUCUGAAUUAUAUAAUGUUGCCAAUCUAUCCAGUAUAUAAAGUGCACAAAUGGUUUUGGUUCAGUAUUAUACCUUUUGUUUUUGGGAGACAAAAAUAGCCUUGACAUAUAUCUUGUUAAUAAUACGUUUGUCUAUUGGAGUGUGUGUAUGAUCAAUUGAGUUUCAGAAAUCAAAUCAACUUUUGCAUUCCACUUUAAUUGUUGCUCUUAUCAAUAAGAAUGCAAACAUUUUCUUCCUGCUAUUCUAUAAAUUUUUGGCCAUAAAUGAAAAAACGGUAAAAUUAUAUUUUCUUUUAGUGAUUUUCUACCUAUCUUUUUGUGUACGGCCUCCAUCCUAUUAUUAUUAGCCCGUCUGCAAUUUUUAGCUGACCCAUUUUAUUUGGCCAUUUUGAAAGUCAGUUUUAUAACUAUCAGAAUUCCUAUUGCAUCCUUUAGGGCCUUUUAAAUGUACAAUACAAUAAUGCGUAGCAUCAGUUAACACAACUUAGUGAUUUUCCAAGUCAGCUAUUAUUAUUAGUGGUCCUAUUAUUAUUUCAAAGUUUUGCAAUUUGCAGGGGUCCCAUUUUAUUUCAAAGUCAAAAGUUUUAUAACUAGCAAAAUUCCUUUUGCGUCCUUUGACACCUUUUAAAUUUACAAUACAAGAAUGCAUAGUGGUCAAGACAGCUUAGGGGUAAAGCAAGAAUAGCAUGCUAAAGCCAACUCUAAUUAGUGGACUGUCGGUGCUUCCUUAAACCUUGUGUUUUUUUGUUCUUUUGUGAAAGGGCCGAUGUUAAUGGCACAGAGGGAGUAGAAUUUUCAAAUUUAACAUGUUAAAAUGAUCUUACACCAACAUGUCCUUUGUGCUAAUCAAACUCAGUACCCGAUUCAUCAUGAGAUUACUAAUCUGCAACUUAUGUUAAGAACCCUGAAUUUUGAAACUAAAUACCUUUGCCCUGUUUUCUUUCUUUUUUUGUUCGUUAAUGUUUCUUCAAUUUUGCUUUGGUCUAAAUUUUAAUGACCCUCCAAUUGACUUUGACUAUAUCCAUUCUUCUAUUCAAGAAAAAAUAUUUAAUAAUAUAUUUUUUCUCCCUUUUGUAUCAUUUCUUCUUGAUACCCUAUUAUGUAUGCAAGACAUAGUGCCACCUUUUUCUUGGUUUACCCGAUUCAUCUAUUAUUAUAGGUGAUAUUCAAUUUCAAGUACACUUAGAUUUUCUUUAUGACCUGGUAGAUAGUUGUCUCGCUCAUAGUCCUUAAUAAAUCUUCAGUAUAAUUGUUCUUCUUUCCAGUAAGCCUUCGCCAAAUUAUUUCAACUUUUUUAAACAGACACCUUUUAGGAUUUUGGUUCGCCUCUCUCUCAACCUUGAAUUUAUUUAUUUUUUUGGGGCAAGAUUCUCACUGUCUAUUCUUAAAGUUCAAUAACUAUUAAAUUUUAAUAUAGAUAAUUGUUUCUAAUACAAUGCUACCAAAAAAAAUAGUUAAGGAAAGAGGAGAUUAAAACCUUGAACAAAAUUUAGAAGCCCAAAAAAUGCAUCACAACUUUCUCUGACAAGCCCAUUUCAAACAGCCCAUUACCUUCACAAAGUCAAAAAUCUUGAUCAAAUCUAACAAAGUAAAUAAAUAAAAAUACAGUACAGAUCAAAAUCCCUAAACAGAUCAAAAUCCCUGACAAGCCUCAUUGCUGUAUCUGAAGAGAGCCUCGAUUGCAAAGAACGAAGUAAGUUUUUUUGUUUUUCUAUUUUGCAAUCAAGAAGCUCAAUUAAUAUGUAAAUUUGUUUGGGAUCUGGUUUGGUUUGUAGUCUAUGUCUGUCAGAUAUAUGUGUCAAUAGCUCCCUUAGAGCUCAAAAGAAUCUAGAUCUUGUUAAUUAAGUUCAUUAUUUGAACCUUACAAGUAAGUUUUUUGCUUUUGAAUUUCCAUUUUGAGUCAUGAAGCUCAAUUGCUAAGUGAAUUUGUUUGUUAUUCAUGGGUUCGUGUCUGCAGUCUCUUUCUGGUUAGGAAGUGUUGAGAUUUCUUGUAUAGAUACAUGUGACAAUGGUAGAUCUUAGUCUCUGUCCCAUAAAUGAAGCUCUGUAGUCUCUUUCUGGUUAGGAAUUGUUGAGAUUUCUUGCAUAGAUACAUGUGACAAUGUUAGAUCUUAGUCUCUGUCCCAUAAAUGAAUCUCUGGUUUAAGAAAUUGGGGGUUUUGUGGUUUACAGCUCAAAAGAAUCUAGAGUUAAGUUCAUUAGUUGAACUAUCCAGAGAUAGGAGAGCAGAGAAGGAUUAAUACAAUCAAGUAUUUGAUGGAAUAUGUAAGGUAGGUGAAGUGUGUGAAGAAAAGACUGAGAAAAGGAAAGAUGAGAUAUAAAAAAGAAGCAUUAUUAAAGGAAUAGAAUAAUUACAAAGAAUUCAGGAAGAAAUCAUAAUGCUCCAGAAUGAAUAUAAUUUUAUCUUUGCUUCCUCUUUACACAAGCACAAGUUCACCCACUUGAACUAACUGUUUAUCCCCUGAUUCUAACUGUCACCCAAACAAACUACUAACCCUCUUAACAAACAUUUUAUAAGAACUGCUAUGACAUGUAUGACUAUGAUGUAACCCCUUCGAUCCUUGUUAUUGAUGCUUGUCCAAUGUCAUUGAUGUAACCCUCCAUUCCUGACUCGGCACCUGUCAUAUGAAUCUUAGCAUCUCCUGCAACCCUGUCCUUGUCAUUGAUUCUGGUCCAGUGUUAUCCUCCAUUCCUGACUCAGCACCUGUCAUAUGAAUCUUAGCAUCUCCUCCUUGGAGCUGGAAAUUCUUGUGACAAAACACUUACAUCCAAACAGGUUGCAAUUUGGUCAAGAAUUCCUUAAAUGACUUACAAACGGUAAGAAUUUUACCCUUAAACAACCCAUUGCCUUUAGGCGCUUUCACAAACCCAUCUCUUUUCUGCUUCUUGUGUCAUGAUCAAUGAGUUUUGGCAAACCACAGCUCCUCUCUUCAACCCUUGCUGCUGCUACAUAGAUCUCUUGUAAGAUUAUUUUGAUCUUUUACUUGAAACAAUAAUGCCCAAAUUUUACAUUUGGGUAGAUGUGAAUGUGAGUUUGGCAGUACUAUGGCAUGGUAGAUGCUUCAUGCAUGCUCUGCAACUGCAUUAAGUUGCAGUGGCAUAUGGGAUAAAAUCAGAGCAAGUGGCUUCCAUUCUUUGAAUCGACGUAAGCUGGUUUAUGGGCUUUUGUUUGGCACGAAUCAUGUGGCAUGCAUGGUGAAGGGUUCCAGUCCCACCCCUCCCGUCCCCACUUCCCCACUUCCCCCCUUCCCUUCUCCUCAAAACAAACACUGCAAGUAGUUGCAGCAUUUAUUUUCAUCCUGAUCACUCUUUUAGUUAAACUUUGUACAUGCAUUACUUGUUUAUGUGGUCUAAAGCAGUUUUCGUUUUUAAUUGAUAGGGGAAUGGCAGGACAUGGAUGGUUUCUCCCUGCUACUGGAGUACUGGCCACAAUUAUCCAAUUGAAACCUGAAACUCUCACUCCAUCUAUUAUAAACGAUGCUAUCAUAACCAUGGCUGUUGUUGCUGUGCUCAUCCAUGUUGUAUGCAGUGCAUUUGAAGAUAUACUCGAAGCUGGUCACUUCAGAUUAAUUGCUGCCGGCACCGGUCAUCUGGCCAGAGCUCUUGCCAUUACUCUACUACUCAUAAUCUGCGUCCCAAAAAUUUGGUGGUUUCUUCUUUCCGCAUGGGUGUUGUUCUUUAUAUGGGUAACAUAUACUUUACUAUACAAUGCAGUUCACCUUCGUCAACGCCACGGCCAAGCCCAAGAGCCAAAUGAGUUGCCGAAUGAGUUGCCCUAAGAGCCAAAUAAUGAGUUGCCGAAUGAGUUGCCCUAAGAGCCAAAUAAUGAGUUGCCAGUGUAACCAUACCGAGCCCUUGAAGAGAUUCAUUUGUGUGUUCAGAAUCAUUUGUGUGUUUCUCACUGGUCGACGUCUAUAUCCAUUGAAGAGAUUCAUUUGUACGGUCGAUGAAAGACAGUUGUCUAUAUAUAUAUAAUUGCGUGGUGUGAUUGAACUUACAAGUGCUAUUUUUACCAGUAUGACCGCAACUUGGUAACGUUAUCUGUAAUAUAUUGUUUGAAUACCUGCUUUAAGAAAAAGAAAAUAAUCCAAAAGUAUGUAGAAGCUCCCGAGUUCUUGUUGCUCCUUUUUUUCUUCACCAUCUCACAUCUCUCUUGCUACCUUCAACAAAAAAUUGUAGUUUAUUAUAUGUUGUUGACUUCCCUUUCCAUUAUUUAUCAAUUUUUAAUGGAUGGUAAUUUCUCUUUCUGCCUUAAUUAAUCAAUAUUUUAUUAACGUAUUAGGUAGGAAAAUCAGGUUAAAAACAUAACUUAUUUUAAACUAAACAAAUUUUAUUACAUAGAAUUUAAAGGGCUGGGGAUUGGCCCAUGGAGACUACUUUAAUUUAUAUUGUUUGGUAUUAUGAUUUAAUCUGUUAUUUAAAUUGAUUUCGUGUUUUUUUAUUAUUAUUUUAUCAUUUUAAAGUAAAAAUAAAAAAUUAUUUUAAUAUAUUUGUAAUUAAAAAAUAUAUUUACAUCUACCUGGCAUCAUAACUAUAAUAAAUUCACUGCUUCAAUUCAAUUUCAUGAUCUAUAAUAAUUGGCCCUAUUUUACCCUCUUCCAUUUUAGUUUAUAUAUAUAUACACACUAAACUAACAUAUUCUGGAAUUAAAAUUUAUUAUUAUAAUAAUUGACAACCUCACUUUUAAAUGAACAAAUUGAAAAACAGAAAAUCAAAAAUCCCUAGUACAAAUAUUUAAAUACUAUUUUAUUUUUAAAAAAACCUAUUGUUAUUUUUAUUUAAAGAUAGUGUUUAUAUUUAAAAAACAUGUUUUUGUUAAAAUAAUAAAGUAUAUUUCUCUUCAAUAAUUUUAAGUCAUGACAUACGUCAUCAUUUAGACGGGUUAAACCAAUUUAAUUUAAGAUAAUCUAGAAAAUAAUUAAUUAAAUAUUUUUUUAUAAAUAAUAUUACAAUGAUGUAGUUUUAAAUUUUUCUUUUAUAUGGAAUCAGGUUUUGGCAUGAGCAACCAAGUUAUGGGUGCACUUGCAACGUUGUUCGAGCCACGAUAAAGGUGUACCGCCCCAAACUUUUUGUGCAAUUAUUAUAUUUUUAAUUGUCAUAUAUGUAAAGUUUAGAGGUAUUUUUUUUUUUUUAUUAUUAGUAACCUUCCUUAUUCGAAGUUAUUUCCAUUUCAUUUAUGAUGCAAGCUUAUCAUUGCAUAAUUAUAUAUCUUAUAAAAAGAUUUCUAUUUCUUUUGCUUUCCUCUUUAAUUUGUCAAUUUGAAACACCAGUGUGUGUUCAAUUUCUAACAUUUUGCUACACUUAAAUUGUGUCCAAUAAACAUUUAUACCUUAUAAAUCAAUUUCAAAAUGAUUCUUGUCUCAAUUACAAAGAUCUAUUCAUUCUCUCUAUUACUUACAAAGAUCUUUUUAAUCUCUCGUACCUUCAAUAUUCUCAUAUAUUGCCUCAAGAAGAGAUUUCUUACAAAAAUUCUAACGACAUUAUUUAUCACCAAGUCUUAUCCUCCUCAAUCCCACUUAAACACCUAAAACAAUUUUAAUAUAAUCACAUUACCAAUUUUCCCCAGUUUUAGCCUCAUUAAAAAAAUUCAAAUAUUCCAAUAUAUAGCAAAAAUAAUUAAAUUCUUAGCAAUCCUCGUUAAAAUGUUCAACACAACACCUAAGCAAUUCUAACAUCAGUAAAACAUCUCAAGCAACCUAAUUUAGUCAAUAAUCAUCUUAACCACAACAAACUUAGUAUUUCUCAUUCCUACAUUUUCCAAAAACAUUACCAUAAGUAUCCAAUCCUACAUAAAUCCAAAUUUCACCCUAGUUAUUAUAUAUUUAACUCACACCUCUAUCAAUUAACACAAUAUUCCAAAAACAUUUCCCAUGCCUUCAAUCAUUCCUACUACUAUGAAUUUCAUGUAAUCACCUCACUUUUUAAUUAAUCAACUCAUUUACUUCAACACAAAUUAAUUUCACCUAUUAUUUCACAAUUAUAUAAAUUCUCAAAGCUCCCUCAAGUCCAAACUAAUGGUCAUUGUUUUUAUUCAAUCUUCACUUUGAAUUCAUUAAUAUCAUACAAGUAACCCAACAACUAUAAUUCAUCAUUCAGUCAACACUUAAAUACAAAAAAUCUCAUAAACCCCAAAGAUUAAGAAUUGAAAUAUUUCAAUCCAAUCAUGAAAAUUCACUCAUACGUGCAAUAAAUUGUUUAGGACCCCUUACCACAACCAAUUCAAUCCAUUACAAUUAUUUUCUUGUAAAGAACCCUAAGCUUUCUCCUUCCUCUUCUAUUUUCCCUACAACAUAGAUCCACCAUGAAAAUCAUACACCCUCCUGAAAAAACCCCACCCAACCACCUACAUAUAUCAAUUAGCCUUUCACAAUUCAAAUAAUACAACAAUUUUUCACAACAACACAAGUUCCCUCAACCCCCUAAAUGUAACACAUAUGGCCUGCCAUACUAGUUCAAAAAUCCAUGUUUUUUUUCAAAUUCUCAUUCGAUUUGUUAUCAUUCAUGCCAUUUUCAUAUCACACAACUAAAAUUUUAACAAAAUAAACAUUCCCAAAAAAUUUACAUGAACUCUAAAAUUUAAUUUUGAAAUUUUUUUGGUUUUGUAUAAUUACAAAACUACAACCCUUUUGGUUUACAACAAAGGUAGUUUCCGUAAAAACCUCCGAUCAUGAAAUGUCUUUUACAUAAUUUAUUUUUAUUUAUUCCAGUAUCAGUAAUACUCUUUUAGGGUGUUUUACCCCAAUCAUAAGAAUUUUUCUUCAGAAUUUCUCUCACCGUUUUCAGUAGAAAUUACGCUAUAGAACACGUGUUUACACCGAUAAUAGGUAUUAUUCACGUGCAAAUUUAAACAUUUAUUUAUUUGGAGUUCCAUUAUAUUUUUCUAAGGAUUUUCACCUUAUUUACAAAAAUUUUCUAAUAAAUAAUUAUUUUCUCUCGGUUCAGGAAUUUACAUGAUUUAUUCCAGGACUAAUAUUUCAAGUACCGAUUUAUUAUUUUAUUUCAUCUGGGAUUUAAACUAAUUAACUAGAGAUUUUCAUCCAAAUCAUGGCAAUUUUUUCUCUUAAUUUACCAUUUUUCAAUUAAAAAUUGUCUUCUUUAACACUAAUUUAUUAAUUUUUAGACUAGAGGUUUACAAAGUGAACUCUCAUCCAACUUCAUUUAAAACUCGAUUAGGUUCAGAGGCCAAGUCAGCAGGUAAGCAUGUUAACUCACCAAGCUCAACUAGUUAGAUAACCUGGUUGAAAUACUCCCAACGACAACACACAAAAAAUUAACUAAUAAUAACUAAAUAGUGAAAUCUAACUUCAGCAUGACCUUUUUUUAAUUCUUCCAAGAUUGCUUCACCAUUUUUCUCAUUCAUUUUAAAAUAAAUCAUAGUUAUAAGACCUACAUGGGUCUGAUCUGGCUUAAGGUUCGAAUCACAAAUUAGGCGGAUCAACCUAUUAUUUUAUUUUAUUGAGCUAGGCUGGAUUCUAUAACUAUGAAAUAAACCUAUGUUCCAUAUUUGAUCGAAGGUGGGUGUAAUAUUUGUAUCCUGUUAUGUAAAACAAGAGAGAAGUGGGAAUUGAAUUGAUUUUCUUUUCCUUAAUACAUUAUAAGAAACUAAGUAGAAAAUAUUUGGUAAAUUUCUUAAUUCAAAUGUGGGCAAGAAACAAAACAUGAAUUACAGGCAUGCCAAAUAGGCUAAUAUGAAAACAGCAGCUUGCAACCUAAGAAUCCAUCAUCAUCACACAAAAUAUGAUUAAACAAAUAACAAAAUUAGAGAAUAUAUUGUAUAAACAUACACUACUUGGAUAAUCCAUGAAUGGGAAGAUAUAUAUAGCUAGACACUAACAUCUAAAACACAAACCAAAAUCUCUUCCUUAAAGCUUAACCCAACAUUCACUGUGGUUUAAGGAUUGAGUCACAUCGAACCCCUAUAGCUUUAAAAAUACAAUUAGGCCAUUAAGAUUUGAAUUUAUGAAAAAAUAUUUGUUAAUAGAAAAUUAAUCUAACCAUCACAGCAAGGACAAAGGGUGAACAUUGUCUACUUUUCUUAUAAGAUUCUUAACCAAAUCAAUUUUUUUUUGGGUUGUUUUUUGCAACUGAAUAUUCAUUUCUUGCCUUCCUAAUAAUUUUUCAUUUGUUUUGUUUGGGUGAGCAGGACUCCUGCUGCAGAUAAGUUUAAAUAACACAUACCAAUAAGUUCAAAUACAAAUUACAAAGCAUUGCCUUCAAAGGGCUUAACAAAAACAAAUAACAUGAUCAUAAAACACUCCAAUAGUCCAAUUGUUGCCAUCAAAACCUGAAAUUAAAAAUAUAAAAUUAUAACUUGAUAAAUUAAAUUAGAAGAUAUAAAAAUAAAAGUAUUCCACAUCAGAUUUGGGCAAUUUUCAAGAGAAAUUCUAAGCAAUAGAAUGAAAAUAGGAAGUUGAACAGGGAAACAAAAAUCCAAAUAGAAGCAGAAACAAUUUUUCAUAUAAAGAAUAAAAUCAAUAUGAUUUUCCAGCAACAAGUACACUGUAGAUCAAAAUACAGAUAAGGAAUCUCUUAUUUCCUUAAUUAUCAACGAAAAUAAAGCACAAACAUGGGUUUUCAAUUCUGUCGACUUGGUUUGGAAAACAGUUUUACAUAUUCUGCACUUCAUCCUAUUGUUGUUGUCAAUCUGUCUAAUUUGAAGAAACAGAAAAUAAUUGCAAUUCUGACUAAAUAAUUUGCAAUGCCGCAAGCACUAGAUCAAGAUAUAUACAUUCCUUUCAGUGCUCAAACAUGGGUUUUCAAUUAUCAAUUAAAAUAAAGCACAAACAUGGGUUUUCAAUUCUGCAUACUUAGUUUGGAAAACAGUUUUACAUAUUCUUCACUUCCUCAUAUUGUUGUUGUCAAUCUGACUAAUUUGAAGAAACAGAAAAUAAUUAAUUUGCAAUUCUGACUAAGUAAUUUGCAAUGCCGCAAGCACUAGAUCAAGAUAUAUACAUUCUUUUCAUUGCUCAAGAACAAAAACCCAAUUAAAGCAAUCACAAGCAUUUACGCAAGCAAUACAGUAAAAUAAAAACCCAAUAAAAAACUACAAAUGGUUACCUUAGAUAUGGAUUUUUGAGCAUUCAAAACAACAACUGUGUCUCUGAUCUCUGAAUUGAAAAGCAAAUACAAUAAAUAUAAUAGAGGAUAGACUAAUUAAUUAAUUAAAAAGAAAAAAACAUAAUUAAAACUUACUGCUAUAAAAUCGAACUUUCUUCUUGAAUCUACAGUAGUACAGUGCGUUUUAGUCUUUUAGACCCAACAUCUUGUCUGCAACCAUAAAAUAAAAAUAAAAUUGCCAGAAGAAAUUCAGCAAGGUCAUUAAUCAAUUAUGAUCUUGUUGUAGAAGGGGCUGAAAAAAAUGACAAUGAGAGAAUGUUGACAGGAUGCAUAUGUGAAAUGUUAUAGAGAUUCAGAGAAGUACCAUGUGUCUGUGAUCUUGUAUAGAUGAAGAGGAAAGGCCAACUAGAUAGGUUCUGCCGUUCUGGAACACGUUGAUCUAUUGUUGAGACUUGAGAGGCUUGAUUGGUGUCAACUUUCAAAUUUCUGCUGAUGCUUGGCGUUUCUCUGGUUGUUUGUGUUUGAGAGUCUAAGACUCUAAGGAGGGGGCGGCCGCCGGUGCUAGUGUUAGGAUUUCAGCUGAUGCUUGGCGUGUCUCUGGUGUUUGAGAGUCUAGGGAGAGGCGGCGAUCGCGGGUGCUAGGGUUAGGAUUUCAGCUGAGCGUGUCUCUGGUGUUUGAGAGAAAGAGAGGGGGCGGCCGCACUGCUAGGGUUAGGUUACUGGGCAUGAGGCAAAGAAUUGUUUCUAUUUAUAGUAUUUUUUUUUUAAUUAGAACCGGUUCGGUUCGGUUCGGGUUGGCCGGUUCAGGCACACCAAAACCGGAAACCGGACCGGACCGGACAUUUUCCUAAAUAUUUUAACCGGUUCAAUCGGUUUUUUGUACCGGUUCGGUUUUUUCGGUUAAUUUUUUUUCGGUUUUCUCGGUUAAAUCGGUUUUUCGGUUUUUUUGCUCACCCCUACAUGAAUCCAUCAAUAGCUGGACAAACUUAUUUUAAAUAAAUCAAAUUCUAUUAUUACAUGAAACAUUGAAAUUGCUUCUUGCCUUGAUAAUAGCUUUAAAAAUGUUAAUUUAAUUAACAUUUUGCAUGCAUUUUUUAUUAAAAAAAUUUUAAUUAAAAAAAGAGUAAAAAAUCGAUUAGUGAUCAGCACGAUAUAAAGCAAGGAGGAAAAUCCAAAGUGGAGAAAAAAAUGAGACAAUUUGGCUGGGGAAGGAGUAAAAGCAACAAAUAAAAAAAGAAAAAGAAAACAAUGAGUGGAUCUAGCACUAUAAGAAGGAAGAAGACUAAUUUAUACAACCAAAACCAAUAUGAAUACUAUGGUUCGUCAAAGACAAUUCUAAAAAAAAAAUAAUAAAAAAGACCAUGCAUAGAAAUACUGUAAUAAUUCACAGUGUUUUAAAGAAAAAACUACAAAGCUAAAUUCUCAACCAGAUCAAUAUUAAAAAAAUAAAAUAAAAAAAAUAAUUCUAAAAAAAACCUAAAAAAAUGAAAAAAAGAAGAAGAGAAUUUUGAAAAAAAAAGAAAAAAAAAUUAAAAAAAAUGAAAAAAAAACAUAUGGGGAAAGUUAAAGUUAAAUUCUCAACCAGCUCAAUAUUAAAAACAAAUUCGACAAAGAUAAUUUUGAAAAAACACACGUGGGGAAACACUGUAGCAAAACAAAAACCGUGUGAGGAAACAUUGUAGCAAUCCAUAGUGUUUUAGAGAUAAAAAAAUAUAAAGCAAAAUUCUCAACCAGCUCAAUAUGAAAAAAAUAAAAUCGACAAAGACCAUUUUGAAAAAAAAGGAAAACAAUUCAUAAAAAAUUCAUAAAAAAACCACGUAGAGAAACAUUGUAGCAAUCCAUAAUGUUUUAAAGAAAAAAACUACAAAACUAAAUUCUCAACUAGUUCAAUAUUAAAAAAAAUUGACAAAGAUAAUUUUGAAAAAAAACACAAAAAAAAUAUAUAAAAGAAGAAUAAGACAAUCUUGAGAAAAAAAAGGAAAAAAUACAUGUAAAACCCAAAAAAAGAAGAAAAACGAAAAAAAGAAUGGGGAAAAAUAAAAAAAUAAUAAAAAAAGAAAAAAAAUAUAGAGAAAACUACAGUAUUUUCUUCACGUAUUUUAGAGUAUGGAUUAAUGUUCCAACUAUGUUUUUUUACUUUUAAAAAUAUUAUUUUAUAUAUCUUUUAAAAAAUUGAAUAUUAAAAAACUGUAAAGAACCUUUAAAAUAUAUUUUUAAAAUUUAAUAUAAAUAAGUUAUGACAUAUACAAUAGCACAACCGUAAUUUGAUAACAUGUAAUAAAAAAAAAUUAACCAUCUAGAUGGUGGCCCAGUGAUAAGAACUUGGGACCAAAAGGUUUUCUCUAUUUGUGGUCUCAGGUUCGAGCCCUGUGGUUGCUCAUAUAAUGACCACUGGAGGCUUACAUGGUUGUUAACUUCAAGGCCCGUGGGAUUAGUCGAGGUGCGUUCCAGCUGACCCGAACACCCUCAUUAAAUUAAAAAAAAAAAGGUUAAAGUUUUGCAUUGUGAAUGCUUUUGAGGCGAAACAUGGUAGGGUAUUCUUUUUUCAAUAAACAAUGAAAAUGACUCAUGACAAUAGCGAGAAUACAAAAUUGUCCUUCAGUUGAAGGUAGCGAAUUCUUUUUUAAGAUUAAAUGAUAGAGAUAGAGGGGUAUGCCAGUAAUUACACUAGAUUAGUUUUCUUAGAGGGUAUAAUGUAAUAUUUUCGUCUCUCUCAUCUCACAACACAGAACAGGACUUGAACGCGCACCACAGAACAUUACUUGAGCGCGUUGAUUUUUUUUUUUUUAAUUUUUUUUAUAUAUAAUUUUAGAUAGUUUUAAUAUGUUGAUUUUAAAAAUAAAAAAUAUAUUAUUUUAAUAUAUUUUUAAAUAAAAAUAUUUUAAAUCACAAUUAUUAUCAAAUAUUUUUUUAAUAUAAAUAAAAAGCAUUUUAAAUCAUAAUCAAACAGAUUUAUUAUUCCUGUGACGCUGCCUCUAAUCUGUGGCGCUGUGCUUGGAAUAUCCACCUUUUAAAUUAAAGAAUGAAGAUUGAAAGGUUGGAUGUGGCGUGUGAGAACUUAGAUGGGGGGUGGUUGAUUUGCUUAGAUAUGGUGAUGACUAAUGAAGAUUACAAAAUGAAGAUUGAAGAACGAAGAACUGAGUGUGGACUUGUGAGUGUUAUCGUGGGAGGCUGUGAGAACUGAGGUGUAGCAUGUCUAUGUCUCUGGAGAGGGCGGUUGCUAGGGUUAUUAGGUUAGAAUGGAAAAUAUUUGUUUAUAAUAUUUUUUUUUAUUAAUUUGAAAUGGUUCGUUGAGGUUUAUCAAUUUUAGCCUUAUAAAAUUGAAAUUAAACUUAACUAAUUUUUUUUUAAAAAUAUUCUAAUUAAUUUAAUUAGUUUUUUUUAUGGUUUGAUUUCUUUAUUUAGUUUUUUGUUUUUAAUUUUCUCAGUUUAAUCAAAUUUUUUAAAUUUUUUCUCACCCCUUCUUAACUCUCAAUUUCUAAACACAACAGCAAACUGAAUUGUACGAAGAAUAGAUAGAAAAAAAAAAAAAAACUAGAGAAGAGAUGCAGACAGCUAUUUUCUGUUUUAAUUCUGUUGUUUGUUCGAUGUUCUAUUCAAAUCUUCUCUAUUUUCCAGAUUGAAAGUUAUGGUGGUUAUUUGAUUUAUUUAAUUAUUCUUUUGAUUUUUUUUUUUAAUUUGGUUUUCUGGUUUUGUGGAUCUGUAACAGAUCGGGUCUCUCUAUUUUAUUCAUGGCAGAACUCUCACCUGCAAGUAAAGGGAUAUUUUCGUCUCUCUCGUCUCACUUAUCAAAAGAGGGCUGGAAAGCCCUAGAAGAACCAGAAAAGACGAGAUGUCAUGAUGUCACUUACCUUUUGUCUCGCCACUGGUCCAGCUCACAUUCAAUUUCCUUUGAUGUCACUUUCAAAGGGUUUUGGGAUAACUCUCGUCUUCAUUUUUUUUUCUUUUUCUUUUUUUAUAAGCAUUUCGGAUCGAUACCCACCAUGAUUUUCCUGUUUUUGGUCUCUCUAAAGGGAUUCACACCACGAUGCACGAUGGGUUUCUUCUCUUCUGUUUUAAAUCUGCUGCUUAUUUGAUGUGCUGUUCGAAAUUUUCUCUAUGUUCCAGGUUGAAGGUGUGGUGGUUAUCCUUUUGAUUGAUUUAGUUUGUUGUUGGGUAUUUGGUAUUCUGGUUUGUUUGGAUCUGUAACAGAUCUGCCAUAAAUAUAUGGUUCUCUCUAUUUUCCAGCCACUGACUCUUUAUCUUUUUCUAUUGUUUUAUUCAUGGCAGAACUCUCACCUGGAAGUAAACGGUGAUAUUUUCGUCUCUGUCAUCUCACACCUCAAUGAAAUCCCUGGAUCGAAGAAAGAGGAGAGGAGAUGCAUGGAUUCGUUGUUUAUUUGAUGUGCUGUUCAGAAAUUUCUCUAUUUUGCAGCUUGAAGUAUUGGUUAUGUGAUUGUACCCAGAGGUUAGUAGUGACAAAAAAAAAAAAAUGUACGCAAGAAUUUCUUUUUAAAUCACGAAUCGCGAUUUACAAAAGCAAAGCUAGACACCCUCUAAUAACAGGAAGAAAAAGAAUCAAAGAAAGGAAGUGAGGGACUCCUUCUGUGGUCACGUUACUCUCAAACACUGCUAUCCUCUUCCUUCUGUGGUCACGUUACUCUCAAACACUGCUGACCUUCUCCUUUGCCACUCUCAAACACUGUUUACCUUUUUUUUUUUUUUUGUCCUCUCUCUCAAACACCGUUAAUCCUUUUCUUCCCUGUUUAUCUUUAGUUGUAAUUAAAGUUUUUAUAACAGUACAUCAUAUAGCUGGAACGGCACCUUUUUGGAAACACCCCUUCUGUGAAUGGUUUUCCACUAAGGGACCUGCUAUUUACCGGGGGUUGACUAGUUUUGAGAAUACUUUACUUUGGAGAGUUCUUCACUUUGGAGAACAUUAACCCCACCACCUCCUCUGAGAAGAAAUAAAUCGCGAUUUUUUAUGAUUUUAUAGUAGGAUUUUACGAGUGAAAUCGUCAUUUUAACAAUUUUCUCUCUCUCUCUUAAACACUGUUUAUCCUUUUCUUCGCUGUUUAUCUUUAGCUGUAAUUAAAGUUUUUAUAACAGUUUAUCUUCCUUCCUUAUCCGUUUUGUUUUUUAAGUAUUUUUUAUUUAUAAAUAUAUUAAAAUAAUUUUUUUUUAAUUUUUAAAAAUUAUUUUUAUAUAGAAUAUUAAAAUAAUUUAAAAAUAUUAAUUUUAGUGUGUUUAAGUGGUUUCUAUAUAAUGAGUGAUAUAAGUAAAAACUUCUAAAAUAAUAUAAAUAAAAUAUGUAAUAUAUUUAAUGUUUAAGAGCAUCUCAAUGUAAAAUGUUAUUUUAAAAAGUUAAAUUGAUAAAAUAUUAUUUUAAAUAGUAUAAAUGUUUUUUUUAUCAUAUCUACUUUAAUGGAAAAAAACUAUUUGAAGAGUUAUUUAUAUUGGAAUGGAAGAAAUAAGUGUUUUAUUAUUUCUUAAUAAGUUUGAUAUUAUUUUUUUCUCAUAUAAUUAUAUUUAAUUAGUUUAUUUUUUUAAUGGCCCUAUCUUAUUGGUUUUAGUUCUUUUAAGAUACAUGUAAGAAUAGCAUUUGUAGGAAAAAAAAAUAUUUUAGCAUUUUGUUUAGUAUUUUUUUUGGAGUGUGCAAAAUAAACAUAAAAAACUAAAAUAAUAUUUUUUAAUAUUUAGCUUUUGAUUUAAUAUACCCAUUAAAAAUGCUCUUAGACAGAACCUUAGGAAAAUAGAUAUUGAAAAAGAAGCCUUUCGAAAACAAAAAGUUAUUAAUUUUAUUUUAAAAUAUUUUUAAAAUUUAAAACUAAACGGGACAUAAGGGUUAGGCCUAUCCCCUACAUAAAGCGUAGGUUUGAAAUAGAGCGUGGGUUUGAAAAAGUGUGGUAGGCUUUUUUGUGUACUUCUACAGUGAAAUCAACGUAGGCCCAUCUACUUACAUUUUUCGUUGUAGGCUUACAAAUGAUAGAUUUAGAAAACGGUACCAAUUUUCUCCUCUCAGCAAACUGUUUAACCUUUUCUCUCUCUAAAGAGAUACGAAGAAAUAAGAAAGAAAAAGAAGAGAUGCUUUUUUAGACAGCUAUUUCUGUUUUAAAUCUAUUGUUUAUUAGAUGUUCUGUUCAAAUCUUCUCUAUUUCCCAGGUUUAAAGUUAUGGUGGUUCUUUGUUUUAUUUAAUUAUCCUUUUGAUUUUUUUUUUAAUUUGGUUUUCUGGUUUGGUAGAUCUGUUACAGACCGGUUCUCUCUAUUUUCCCGUCGCUGUGUGUUUAUCUUUUUCUGUUGUUUUAUACAUGGCAGGAACUUCCACCUACAAAAGAGGACUUGAACGUGCUAGAAUGAAAGUCUCUACUUUCAAGGUCGAAGUUAUGGUAUGCAUGGCUAUUUGGUUUAUUUAAUUUGUUUAUGGGAUUUUGGUUAUCUUGUUUGCUUGAAUCUGUAAUCUGCCAUGCCAGUGUCAAAGGUCUAGGUCCCUGUGACACCAGCCAUUGAAUAGUUCUGUUUUUGUUCUAGAGAGGUAUUGGAAAUUCAACUUUGGCUCGUUUCUCCUAAAAAAAUACAGCCCUUUUGGGUGUCUGUUCAGAUAAUUUGUUAGAUAUAUGUGGAUUGUGAUCUCCAAUCUUCUUAAUGUCCUUCAGCUUUUGAAUUGGCACAUGCAUAAAUUUCAUAAAUUUGACGAAGAUAAAAGUUUUGACUAAUGGAGUCUCUUUGUUCUCUUGAAUUUAUUGGGAUGCUGGAGAAGACAAUUGAUGAUGGCUAAAGAUACUAUGAGGGUGGAAACUGUGUGCUAUAGUGUGUCCUUGUGCCAGGAAAUCACCUUUCCCUAUCCAUUGCCAGAUCUAAAGAUGCAAGGUAAUCGGUGGAUUUUGUUUUUCCAAAUUCAUUUAUCUGGAGAAAAUUGCGAACUUAAAAUCCUUUAUCUGUUUAUUGUUCUUUUCAAAUUCAUUUCUAUUCAUAUCUUUUUUGUUCUUUUAUGCAGAAUUUAUUUGAAAAAAAAAAGUAGCAGGUUAAAAUGAGAUUCUCAUCACAAAUUAUGAUCUCUCCUUUAUCAGGUAAAACCUUGAUUUUUUUUUUUGUGUGCUUUGAUAUAAAUCAUUAUGUCCUCAAAUUCACUUUAUUUAAAUUGAUUUAUCAAAUUUGUUUUCUAAUUUAAUGAUGAAAUUUAUCAUUAUGUGCUCUAAUUUUUAAUACAAGAAUGCAUAGUAGUUAAGACACCUUACGGUUGAAAAAAGAGAAUUUUCAAAUGUUAAGGUUUGCUUUUAACAUCUUAAAAUGAUCUGACACCAACAUAUCCUUUGUGCUAAUCUGAUUUAUCAUGAGAUUACUAAUCUGCAACUUAUGUUAAGAACCCUGAAUUUUGAUAGCAAAUACCCCUCAUCUUUGUUUUCUUUCUUUUUUUUGUAAGCUCUUUCUUUUUAGCCCGUUUGUUUUUGCAUUUCAAAAAUGCUUUUAAAAAAAUUUGAAUUUUUUUAAUUUUUUUCUUUGCUUCAAAUUAAUUUUGUUUUUGGUGUUUUCAGAUUGUUUUGAUAUACUAUUGUUAAAACUGAAUUUUUUUUUUUAAAAAACAUUAUUUUGAUGCAUUCUCAAAUAAAAAGCAUUUUGAAAAACAACCGAUACCACAAUAUCAAAUGGGUUCAUCUAUAGUUUCAUCAAUUUUGUUGUGGUCUAAAUUUUAGUGACGCUCGAAUUGCAAUUGAGAUCAAAGGCACGACUAUGACUAUAUCUAUUCUUCUAUGCAAGAAAAGAGGAAGUUAAUAAUAUCUAUGACAAUAUAUUAUUUCUCCCCUUUGUAUCAUUUCUUCUUGAUACCCUAUUUUGUAAGACAAUACCACCUUUUUCUUGGUUUAUCGAAUUCAUCUAUUAUUAUAUUUUGAUAUUCAAUUUCAAGUAUACUUACAUUUUCUUAAUGACUUGGUAGAUAGUUUUCUCACUCAUAGUCCUCAAUAAAUCUUCAAUAAUUGUUCUUCUUUCCAGUAAGCCUUUUCCAAAUUAUUUCAACUUUAUUAAACACUCCUUUUAUGUGUUUUGUUUCUCACUUUCUUUCCACUAAACAAUAAUUCCUUGGUAGAAAUUGUAUGAUAGCAUGGCAAUCCAAUUAAGGUAUCAUCUGAAAUCCGGAUUAGAAGUUUGGUCUGCCUCUCUCUUAAUCUUGAAUUUCUUUAUUUUUUGUCAUAUUUUUUACUGUCUAUUCUUAAAUGUCAAUAUUCAUACUUCUCUAUUCAUUACCUACUAUUAUAUGAAUAACAUUUAAAUUUUAGCAUAGCUAAAUGAGUAGUGCACAGAAGCCCAACACAAGUCAUUACAAAGUCAAGCACUCAAUUGAUUUAGAGAAAUACCAUAGCAGAUUAAAACCCUAAACAAUCUCUGAUUUAUAAAAUAAGAAAAAAAAAACAUAAAAAAGCUUGCUCACAAAACUCCAGCUGCUAAGAGAUCUUGUGAGACGACCUCAUUGCUGUAUCUCAAGAACCUUACAAGUAAGUUUUUUGCUUUUGAAUUUCUUUUUUGAGUCAUGAAACUCAAUUGCUAAGUGAAUUUGUUUGUUAUUCAUGGGUUCAUGUCUGUAGUCUUUUUCUGGUUAGGAAUUGUUGAGAUUUCUUGUAUAGAUACAUGUGACAAUGGUAGAUCUUAGUCUCUGCCCCAUAAAUGAAGCUAUGGUUUAAGAAAUUGGGGGUUUUGUGGUUUAGAGCUCAAAAGAAUCUAGAGUUAAGUUCAGUAGCUGAAUUAUCCAGAGAUAGGAGAGCAGAGAAGGAUUAAUACAAUCAAGUAUUUGAUGGAAUAUGUAAGGUAGGUGAAGUGUUUGAAGAAAAGACUGAGAGAAGGAAAGAUGAGACAUAGAAAAGAAGCAUUAUUAAAGAUAUAGAAUAAUUACAAAGAAUUCAGGAAGAAAUCAUAAUGAAUAUAAAGAAGAAGCAUUUUAUCUUUGCUUCCUAUUUACACUAACACAAGUUUACCCACGUGAACUGUUUACCCCUGAUUAUUACUGCUACCCAAACAAACUACGAACCCUCUUAACAAACACAUUAUAUUAUAGUUACAAGAACUGCAAUAACACAUGUAUCACUCUGAUGCAACCCCUUCCUGCCUUGCUAUGGAUCCUUGCUCAAUGUUAUCCUCCAUUGCUGACUCGCACCUGUCAUAUGAAUCUUAGCAUCUCCUGCAACCAUUUCCUUCCUUGUCAUUUAUCCUAGUCCAGUGUUAUCCUUUGUUCUUGACUCAGCACCUGUCAUAUGAAUCUUAGCAUCUCCUGCAACCAUUUCCUUCCUUGUCAUUGAUUCUGGUUCAGUGUUAUCCUCCAUUCCUGACUCAGCAACUGUCAUAUGAACCUUAGCAUCUCUCUCCUUGGAGCUGGAAAUUCUUGUGACAAAACACUGCAUAUCUGGUGGCCGUCUUCUUAGAAUUACAAGGCACGUUUGCAAUGUGUCUGGGCCCCUCUUUCAACAUCAUGAUUCAUAAUAUCUGCAAAGUUAUGUUCAAGGAUGAAAUAUUCGCUAGCAUCCAAAUAGGUUGCAAUUUGGUCCAGAAUUCUUCGACUGACUUACAAACGUUAAAAAUUAUAUCCUUAAACAACCCAUUACCUAGAGGAGGCGCUUUCACAAACCCAUCUCUUCUCUGCGUGUGUCGUGAUCAAUGAGUUUUGGCAAGCCACAGCUCCUCUCUUCAACCCUUGCUGCUGGUACAUAGAUCUCUAGUAAGAUUAUUUUGAUCUUUUACUUGAAACAUUAAUGCCCAAGUUUUACAUUUGGGUAGAUGCGAAUGUGAGUUUGACAGUACAAUGGCAUGGGAGAUGCUUCAUGUAUGCUCUGCAACUGCAUCAAGUUGCAGUGGCAUAUGGGAUAAAACCAGAAUAAGUGGCUUUCAUUCUUUGAAUCGACUAAGUUGGUUUAUGGUCUUUUGUUUGGCAUGGAUCAUGUGGCAUGCAUGGUGAAGGGUUCCAACCCCGCCCCGCCCCUCCCUUCCCCUCCCCUCCCCCUCAAAACAAACACUGCAAUUAGUUGCAGCAUUUGUUUUCAUGCUGAUCACUCUUUUAGUUUAACUUUAUACAUUUAUUAAUUGUUUCUGUGGUCUAAAGCAGUUUUCGUUUUUAAUUUGCUAGGGGAAUGGACAGACAUGGUUGGUUUUUCUCUGCUAUUGGAGCACUAGCUGCCAUUAUCCAAUUGAAAUCUGAAACUCUCUCUCCAUCUAGUACACACGAUGCUAUCAUAACCAUGUCCGUUGUUGCUGUGCUCGUCCAUAUUGUAGGUAAACUUGCAGCUGGUCACUUCCAAUCAAUUGCUGCCAGCGCCAGUCUUCUGGCCAGAGCUCUCGCCAUUGCUCUGCUACUCAUAAUCCCUGUCCCAAGAAUUUGGUGGUUACUUCUUUCCGCGUGGGUGGUGUUAUUUAUAUGGGUAGCAUAUACUUUACGCGAGGAAUUGUUACAAUUACGUGAAUCCCUUCGCAAUGCAGUUCGCCAGGCCAAGGAGCCAAAUGCUGAGUCCAGUGAGUUGCCAGUGUAACCUUACAUAUCAAAGACUGAUUUGGGACCCUAUCAAAAUAUUAUGUUGCAAAUACUAUUAUCCAUGCAUCAUUGAAAAUGAUGUUCUCGUUAAAUUCCAAAAAGCCUGUUUAAGGAUGAAGAAGCUCCUGAGUAGUUGACUUACCCUUCCAUUAUUUAUCCAUUUUUAAUGGAUGGUAAUUUCUUCUUCUGCCUUAAUUAAUCAAUAUUUAUCAACAUAUUUUGAGUAAUUUAUUUAAUAGGAAAAUCAGGUUAAAAAAGCUAGCAUAUAUUUUUUUAACUAAGAGGGCAACAUGUAAAAAGGUCCUGCGUUUCCCCUUUAUAUUUUUGUUUUUCAUUUUUUUUUUAAUAUUUUGAUUGAAACGCAUUAGAAAAAAAUACUUUGCCAUUUUAUUUAAGUUAUUAUUGAAUUUUGUCAUUGCGAUUAAAUAAUUUUAUGAGUUUUUGCUAACAAUUAUAUACCUGAUAAUAUUUAUUUUAUGAGAUUUUUUUAUAUAUUUCUAUCGUGAAUUGAUAAGAAUGUUAAUUUAUUUUUUUAAAAAAUAUGUAUCUAAUAUGCCAAAAAAUAAAUAUCAUGAAUAUUUAAUGAAAAUAAAGUUUUCUCUUAAAACCUGAAUAAAUUUAUAGCAUGAUUUUAUUAUAUUUAUUAAAAAACAUUUCCUCGUUCAAAUAUUUAAACACUAUUUUGAUUUCUUUAAAACAUCAUGUUAUUUUUAUUUAAAGAUAGUGUUUAAAUUUAAAAAUGAUGUUUUUGUUAAAACAAUAAAGAAAUGUAUUAUUAAAAAAGUAUAUUUCUCCUCAAUAAUUUUAUGUAUUUAGGGGCAUGACAUAAGUCAUCAGUUAGGCUUGUUAAACCGUUUUAAUUCAAGUUAAUCUAGAAAUCACCGAUUAAAUACUCUUUUUACAAAUUAUAUUACAUCAAUGUUGUCUGUAGUCUCUUUCUGGUGUAGAAUUAAUAAUAUUUCUUGUAUAGAUACAUGUGAAAAGUGUAAGAACUUGGUUUCUGUCCUAUAAAUGAAGUUAUGGUUUAAGAAACUGGGGGCUUUAGGCUGAAAAGAAUCAAGAGUUAAUUAAGUCAGUGAUGAAUUCAUGGGUAUUUGGGUAAUAUUUAGAAUAACAAGAUAUGGAUGAUGAGAUUUCUGGUACAGGGAUAGGGAUGAAGUUUCUUAGUUGAACUUUGCAGAGAUAGGAGAGGAGAGAAGGAAUUAGGGCAAUCAACCAGAACCACUCUUAUCGUUCUUCACAUUUUUUAAGCGGUGAGUGUGAUAAAUUGUCGGUAAACAAUUCUAUAGGUAUCCCUCUCAAAUUCUUUCAGAUGGGAAGCUUCCCUGAAUAGACAAUUUGCAAUACAAUAUGGAAAUCAAGUUUUUGAUAGGGAUGCAACCCCUUCCUGCCUUGCUAUGGAUCCUUUUCCAAUGUUAUCCUCCAUUCCUGACUUGGCACCUGUCAUAUGAAUCUUAGAAUCUCCUGCAACCCCGUCCUUGUCACUGAUCCUAGGCCAGUGUUUCCUCUGUUCCUGACUCAGUACCUGUCAUAUGCAUCUUAGCAUCUCCCUCCCCCUCCUUUACUGGAACUGGCAAUGCUUCUGACAAAACACUAAAUAUCUGGCUACUGGCUUCUUAGCUCAACAACAUAAUGCAUAAUAUCUGCAGCUCAACAACACAAUGCAUAAUAUCUGAAGAUUUAUGUUUCUAGGCACUUCUGUUUGGAAUGUAAGGGAAAAUUGAUUUCAAUUCUUCAAUUUAGCCAAUGCUCGUGUUUGGGAACAACUUUUGCUUGUAGAAUUCGUUGGUAGCAGAACUAUGCAGAAAUCAGGUCUUGAAAUGGCAUCCAAAUGGGUGCAAUUUGGUCAAGAAUUCUCUGUUUCAAACGUUAAGAAUUUUGUCCUUAAACAACCCGUUACCUAUAGGCUCUUUCACAAACCCAUCUCUUUUCUGCUUCUUGUGUCG
rnacentral:lncRNA from 1 species